rnacentral:lncRNA from 1 species
CAAGACAUGUAUUGUAUAGUCAAACCAUGGAUCCAAAGAAACAAAUCAAUAAGUCAAAUAGAUGUGCAUGUGUGGCGAAUGGAUGGUGUAUGGUGAUGAUGGUGAUAACAAUGGUGAAAGUCUAAUUCUACUUUUGCUCUUUUGAGGGGAUACAUACUUUUCUUGCUUUUUGAAACUUUGUGAGGAGAAUGAGAUGCUCUAUAUUUUCUUUUCUCUCAGGUGGGUAUCUUGUACCCCUAAUUCUACUGUCGGACACUUGUCCAUUUUUAGCUCUCGUCUCACUUUUUCUUUUCUUUCGAGGUUCUGGGCACUUGCCCUUUUUUUAUUUCCUCGUAUCUCUUUUUUUAGAGUACUCAUCUCUUGAGAUAAUAUAGCAAGUGGUAGUAACAAGAUAACUUGAGCAUUCAUUUCACAUGGGAAAACAGAAAAGUUUUUGGCUAUUCUCUCCCAGAUUAGGAGUAGAAUAUUUUUGGGUGGUUCUGGAGAUGGAAAUAGAUGGAUAUAUGUGGAUGGUACUUCUGGAGUAAAAGUAGCAUAUGUGAGUGAACGUGCAAGUGAAUCUUGAUUUAACCACAUGACAAGCUCCUAAGGGUCUACACAGCUUGACCACACUCAAUGCUCAUAAGUAGUAAAAAGUAAAUGUAUGGCUCAAAGUCUAGCAAGCAUGUAUAUAUGGCUGUGGUAGGAAUUUAAACUCUCAUCAUACAAGAACUCAUCAUGCAAUAUUUUAAAGAUUUUAAAGAUAAAAUUCUCCAGAAUUCUAGCAUCACUAGGAACAGAUAAACAGCAGCUCAACCUUUCCAUAUCGUAUCCGUUAACAACUUAGACUUCAGAUCAAGUUUUUCUUCCCACAAGUUUAGGUUUAGAGCAAGCUUUAAAUUAUAACAGUUAUGUCUAAACUUGAGAGAUAACUUGACAUUUUUAAAAUUAGGCAAAGCAACUAUUCAUCAUAUCCAUGCUAGAGUUUUAUUAUUAAGAUUCAGAUUAGCAUAGCUACUUUAUUUAUUUAUUAAACACACUAAGCAAAAGAUGUAUAUAUAUAUAAGCACAAAAUCUUUAUUUGGUUUUCCAUAGUUAUGUAUAUUUAUAUUUUUUUAAUAUAGUAUAAGUAUAAAGAUAGAUAGAAAUACUUAUCGGGAUAAAUGGGGGUGCUCUCCCCCAAGCUGAAUUUUGACGUAAUUUCUUUUGAUGUAGCUAGCAGGUGGCAGAGGCGUGUUUGAAAGUCGGUAGUAUCUUGAUAGUGAUUAGAAUGUCCUCCGUCUGCUAGUCUUCUCGAUUCUUAAAUUCUGAGGAGCUCAAAUAGACAACAAAGCUUUGUGGAACUAGUUAAGUGUUAGCAUAAAUAUCUAGCCUUUAUCAUGUUGAGACUCCUCAAUAAAUAUUACAUUCUAUUUUUAUAUUUUCAUUUUAUAAAGCAGAAAAAAUAUUUAUUUUAUUUUUAUGCCACCACAGUGAAUGUACUUAUGGGUUUUAUGCCACUCGUAUACUAACAUGGGGCUUACUAUUUUUCAUAUAUUUAUUUUCUUUUUAGGAUUGUAUGAACCUGAUUAACUAAGCAAACUAUUUUAAAUAAUUGAAAUGGAAAGGAUAACUACCAAUUUUACUCUUGGCAAGGCGUUCGGUGUUUUUAAGUCCUCCGAACGGGACUGUCCGUUUUCUCAAUUGUCCUAGGAUUCGUUGGGUGGCGUAAUCGGUACUUCCGGCGGCGCCUCCUCUUCAUGUCUAUUUAUCUUCUCUUUCCAUACCUGACUUGGUGCUACGGUCUCCUCAGGAUAAUUCUGUUUAAACUGUAUGUCUUUAGACUUUAUCACUUCUCCUUCAUAGUCUGCCCAUCCGUCCUUGAUGAUUUCCCUUCUCUGGUUGAGGUUGCAUCAUUUUGUGACCUGCUUAGAGUCUUCAACGAUAUAGUUAGGGUCAGUAAAAUAGCGGCGUACCUUCUCUGAGGGGAAGUGCAUAUGGACUUCUCCGGUUCCAAUGUAGAUGAUUGCCUUAACAGUGCUGAGGAACGGCUUCCCAGGAUGAUGGGUGGAUCGUAUUCGUCUUCUCCCAUGUCAAAAACCUGAAAGUCUGUGUAGACAAAAUGAUCGUCUAUUUUCACAGGGACAUCAAUUACUGUUCCUUUAACCUCUCGAAAUGUCUGAUCUGCCAUCUGGAGUUGAAUGUAUGUUGGUUUUAAGGGCAUGGUUCCGAACAAGAGCCGAUAGGUUACUGCGGCCAUUAUGUUGACGCCCGAUCCGGUGUCGCAAGUCGUCUUGUAGAAGUUGUAUCCAUUUACGGAGCAAUAGAUGCUUGGCAUUCCUGGGUCAUCCUUCUUGGUCAAAAACGGUGACUUAAGUUGAUGAUCUUGGCCUCCAUGAACUGCAGUGACCAUCUUAGCUGACUCGGUCCAUACUUGCUUUUUCCUGUUCCUCCUGUUGGUCCUCUUCCUUGGUUCACGUCUGGAUUGAUCUGGGAUUUGCGUAGUCUUGUUCUUGAAGGAAAAUGUCUCCUUUCUCCCUUUGAUGUAGAAACUGAUCUUGGCAGCACUAGCGUAGAUGACAGCUCCCGAGGUGUUCAAGAAUGGCCUCCCUAAGAUGAUGGGUGCCCUCUCAUCAUUACCGGUCUCUAUCACCACGAUGUCUACUGGGGCGUAUAAGGUACCAACUCGGACACAAAGGUUCUUCAAUAUUCCUUUUGGAAAACUUAUCGUCUGAUGUGUAAACUGCAAAAUACAUGGUUGUUUCUGAUAAAGGAUAUGUAAAGAAUUUUUCAUAGAAUACCCUGGGCAUAAUGUUGACACUAGAGCCGAAGUCGCAGAGUGCUUCUGGGAAGUCCACCAUGCCGAUGGAGAUCGGGAUGACGGGGCAUUCUAGAUCCCCUCUCUUGACCGACAGAAGGUCAGUAGUAACUUUAGUGACGGGGUUACUCCAAUUGCCUGCAACAAACAUGUCUAUAAGAAUUGCAGAUUCUAAUCCUUCCGGUUGUGAUGGUAUACCAGGGUUAGUAGUAGGAACAGCAGCAGCUAUUUGAUUUAACUAGGAUUCGAUCAUUUUAUUAAAGCUAAUUUGAUUCUUGAUGGCAGUAGAGAAAUUAUCCAUUCUAUUAUUUAUAUUUUCUAGCAUUUUAUCAUUAGAUGUCAAUUUCUUGGAUAAGUUAUCCACUGGCUUUCCUUGAUUAGACACUAACUCUCUCAGAGGUGGAAAAUUAUUAUUAUUGUUAUAAGAAUUGUUACCUUGAUAAUUACCUGAGUAGUUAGGCCUCUAUUGAUUCCAACCUUGAUUUUGUUGAGGACGGUUGUAGUAGUAGUUGCUAUUGUUGUUGAUGUAGUUCACAUCCUCAAGCAUCUCAGGGCAGUGAUUGCCUGAGUGUCCAGUAUCUCCACACUCCUCACAAGUCAUGUGAGAGUCGUAGAUGUGCAUAACUUCUUUCUUAUCUCUAGCUCUAUCAUCGAGCUUCUUCAUGAGGGGUCUAGCUUUGCAGACAGCAUGUCUACCUCCUUGAGCUGACGCAUACCUCCACCUCUCUUGCGUGUCUGGGUCCAUUCUUCAUUCCAGCUUUGGUUGGACGCCAUCUUCUCCACAAGAGCUAUGGCUUGUGAUAUGGUAAGUGAUAGGAAUGCCCCUCCAGCUGCAGCAUCCAUGGUUUCUCGGGCACUGUUGCCGAGCCCAUGAUAAAACGUCUGCAUCAGUAGCCAACUCUCCAUUCCAUGAUGGGGACAUUCUAGGAUGUAGUCUUGGAAGCGCUCCCAUGCUUCUGGAAUAGAUUCAUCAUGUUGUUGCUGAAAACUUGUAAUUUUCCCACAAAGAGCAUUGGUCUUGCCAUGGGAAAGAACUUAGCUAGGAAGUUUGUUGAGCAGAGUGCCCACGUAGUAUUCUUCUCCUUUGUAGCGUAGAACCACUGCUUUACUCUUCCUAAUAGUGAGAAUGAGAAGAGGCAAAGUAGUGUAACAUCUGUGGAAACUCCUGAUAUGGUGAAUGUGCUGCAAAUCUCUAGAAAGUGUUGGAGAUGAGCACUGGCAUCUUCGGGUGCCUUCCCACAGAACUGGUUGGAUUGCACCAUGUUGAUAAGUCCAGGCUUGAGCUCAAAGUUGCCAUCGAUCUCUGCAGCAGGUCCAAUGCGGAUGUUGUCCGUAGUGGGAGCUGAGAACUCACGGAUCGAUUUGUUCGCCAUGGCUUCGAACUCUAAAGACAAGUUCCGGUGAUCUUCUUGAUUGGAUGAAGCUUCUUGCUGAAGUGUUGAUGAUCUCUUCUUGAGCUUGGCUCUUGUUUUUCUGAAUAAUGCUUCGAAAUUGUCAACAAAAUUUCCUGGAAGAUGUCUUUUAUUCAUACAUUACCUGCAUAAGAUAAAAUAGAAAAAUAUCAGGGUAAAACUGUAUGAGAGAAUUGAUAAGCUCAAUCAUAUUAGAGAUGCGAAUGAUAACUCGAAAUCCUAUAUCCAUUCCUAAUUAGUAAUCAACAUUCCUUGGCAACGGUGCCAAAAAUGCUUGUUGGGUAUUGUUAUCAUCAUUACCAAAAGUAGACAGUUUUCUAAUUCUGAUAACGGUGCCAAAAAUGCCAAAUCUAUCCCUCAUGCCACUUAAGCCAAGUUGUCAUCCACAGCAUGACAUGAGAGACGCGAUAAUGAAAUAUGCAAUCUCUCUUCUAAAUAAAUAACAAAUAAGAUCUGCAAGCGCACAAAUUAAUACUGAUGUAGCAUUUUAACCGGGAAGUAUUUCGGGUAUCGUUAUUUAUAUUUUUACCACUGGGAAGGGAUUAGUAACCGUCAAUGUUGAUUAUAGAAUGGAAUAUGAGAUUGGGUAUCUAUCAUUGCAUGUAUAAUUGAGAACAUUUAUCUAACUCUUUCAUACAGGGGUAAGUGUCACAUAAAGGAUAUAUGAAGUAAUGAAUAGUGAGAAAGAUAAUUAAUCUGAUCAGCAUAACUUAGCCACAUAAUAAAUAUGAUAAGCACCUCAAUUAGAUAUUCUAGCAAGUCAUUAGCAUGGUAUUAGAACGAACUACAAGAAUAUUUCCUAAGUUAUUCUCAACUAUAUAGUCUAGCAUAUCAUAGUUAGUGCAAGCAUACUUAGCAAUCAUUGUGAGACAAGACUACGCCCAUGCAUAGUGAUAUUAGCAAGAAAUAUGAGAAACAUAGCAAUCACUCCCCUGUAAUAAUGUUGCUCUGCCAGCCUAAUACACGAGAGGGGGACUAUAUAAGAAUCAAUGAGCUGUCACUAUCCCGAACUACCCCACGAUCUGGCAUAUUGGGUACAAUCGCAGAUAAAUACGGUAUAAGCACCAUGCCUACACAAUAUCUAUCAUUUACCCAUGGAUCCGAUGGAUAAACGCUAUACGAUCCUAAAUGUAACACUCCUAGUGUUAGCUUGCAUGUUAACCAUGAGCAUUGCAUUAGCAUAAGCAUCAUCAUGAUCACUCAUGAGCAUUAUACCAUGAUCACAUGCCAUUUGCUUUAUGCACUACAUGAUUAAAUUGCUUGUGUGACUUGAAUUGGGUGACUAUAAGGGGUAGCCAAUGCAAACAAUUGUACAUUGUAUUCCAAAAUACCUCAAACAUGCUUAGAAUAUCUUUUGGAACAAAGUUCAUGUUGAAGGUUUUGGCGAAAAAUGUACCUAAGUCAUGGUUAGCCCUAGAAUGACCUUUUUGACCCUCCUAGACCUCUUUUCAAAGAUGUUUUAUGAAACUGGUGUUAGAGAUCUUGCAUGUCUUUGACACCUGAAACAAAGUUGUAGAGAAUUUCAUAAGCUACAAAAGUUAUGUUGAUGACUUUUUAUGAAAAAGCUUGGAACACUUUGAAAAGUUACUCACAAGCCAAAAAUCAGGGCUGAUUUCACACUUAGCCGAAUUUGGCUAAGUGUUGGAUCACGCAGUUUCGACCAAGGGUUGUUUGGAGCCAUGUAGUUUGAAAUUCAGACCGAGUUGGACUUUGAUCUUGUAACCAAAGUUGUAGAACUCGUGUAGCUCUGUCCAAAGGAACAAGUUUGAGCCAAAACCACCGAGUGAGCUGAGAGUAAAACGCCGGUGAACUUUGGGUUUCAGACACGGUCGACGACGACUGAAUCGUGCGAUUCAGUUUCGUCAGUCCGGCCGGCCGACGCGUGGAUGACCCGUGGCGGCCGUACGUCGACGGCGACCCCGCCUGUCAGCCCCGGCGCCUUCACUUGGACGCCACGACGCCACCCCGAGCCCCGGUCGUCCUCAUUUCGCCUCUCCAGCGCUCUCUCCCUUCUCCAUUUCGCCUCGGCGAGCUCCGCCGUGGAACGGCCGCGUCGCCCGAGCUCCUCUCGCCGUCUCCGGCCAAGCCAGCCUGCCAAAAGCUUCGCCAGAGCCUCCUCUACCUCGGCGUCACCCCCUUGGCCACUGUCGGGCACGGGUAAGGCGGCAUUGCCGAGCUCCGAGCAAUUCUUCCUCGCCGGGGUUCCGCUCGAGCUCACCGGCAACGUGGCCAGGCUUCUCUGCUCCAUCAUUUCCCUCCAUUCUUGUUCCUAUCGCUUCCCCUUGGUUCACUGAUGCUCGGCAUGACGCUCUACCGCGUCGUCAUUGCCUGGAUCCGCCGGCGUAUCGCCGCGCAGCGCCGCCGCUCCCUAGAGUCCAGUAGAGCGCGCGUAAAGUAGGUCAACAGAGUCGCCUUGAUGAGAGGAACACGUAGGUGCCCUUGGAUCCGGCCGAUACCUCGUCGUCGUUGAGCUUCGCUGGUGACGAGCAUCUCCCCUGCCUCUGUCUCACUGACGCGCGGGUCCCGGAUGUCAGCCUCUCUGUGUCACCCCCUCUGAUUCACUGUUGUGCAGAGCCAAAGCUGUUUUUGUAAAAUUCAUAUCUGGAGUUUUAGAGAUCCAAAUGUGGUGCUUCCAAUUUUGCUAGGUUCCAGCUCAAGCCUAGUUUUUAAUAAAAAUAUGAAACAUGCUAUGUUUUUGCAGAAAUAAAUAGAUAUAAAUUAAUCUUGGAUUUUCAGUGCGUAAUUAUAUCUUGAGAUCUAGUGAUCUGCUGGCCAUGCAAAUUUAGGGAGUUGUUACUUAUGUUAUGAGUAGGCUCUGAUAAAUUUUUCAUGAUUUUUGGAAGCCUACUUAGGAAGUUAAAAAUAAAUCUUGCUUAAAUAGGAGUUUCUUGUGAUAUUUUUAGUAAUUAAGUUAUAACUCCUUUUGUGAUGAAACUUGCUGAGUGUCAUACUUAUGGGCAGACAAAGCUAGGAAAAAUCUGAAAUCUGUUGUUUGGCACUUUUUGAUAGGGUUUCACAUUUAUGCCUUGCAUGCCUUUACUAGCUUGUUAUUUUUAUACCUCACAAUGUUUACGUGCAAAUGUUCUGAAAAUUUUACAGUGAUCUUAUGUUAGCAUAAGUAGCUUGCUGUAAUUUUCUUACGAUUUUUGGAACACUUGAAGUAUAUGUUCAUUAAAUCACCUUAAUAAUUAAAUAAAUAGAAAAAGUGAUGAUAGAAAUAGUUUUAGACCUUGCCAUGAUGUUUUCUGGUGUUCCUUAGAUAUGUUAUAUCUGUUGGUGCAAUUGGUUUAUCCCUGUGGUACAUUCUCAAUAUGUGCAAAAUAUUAUUUUAGCUAUUAUUGCCUUUCCUAGAGCAUUUCUGUACAGCUGAUAGCAAAUGAUUGAGAACUACUUGAAGAUGGCGUUUUUUGGGAAACUUGUCUACAACAAACUUGUAGCUAACUUACUGGUCUACUUUGUGUCCAAAUUUCAUGACAAUUGGUUAAGUAUUUUGAAAGUUAUGCAUAUUUCAAGUAGCUGCUGUAAAGUGCUUGCUCUCUGGAAUUCCCAGAGCAGUCAGCCAACUUUGUAUGUUUAGCAUAUUUCGGUUGGGAAUCAUGCUGAGAUGUCAAGAAAUGAAUUAUAGAUAAUUUGCUAAGCUUUCCAGAAAGUACUUACUUGCUUAGUUUGGUUAACUGAUGCUUAAGUUAUGGCUAAAACUUGUGACUGGUUGGCUUGUCUACUAAACCAGUGGCUGAGUAGGAAUAACUAGAAUUUGUUUAACUUGUCCAAUUAGUCUCUCUACCAGAGAAGAAGUAUGCACUGGCUUGUUAUUCUAUGAUUCACUUAAUCUUAGAAGUUUACACUCAUGUUAUACCUUGUCUUAUGUCUUUUUGGCUCCUCAUCAUGAUAUCAUGCAUCAUAUGUGCAUUCUCUAUAUUCAUCUCCUUGUCAUGCAUCCAUAGGUGUACCCAAGGGUGUGACGGUACUGGAGUACGAGUUGCCGGAGCCGGAAGGACAGCAAGGGGAACUACCUCAAGGAGUUGAGGAGGAGGACUUGCCGGAGUCCCUGACCAUCGUCCCUCUACUUACGUUGAAGGCAAGCCCCGGAGCAUUAUAAGCCUCCUACUAUUUUAGUAUCACAAUCAGCUAUCAAAUGACUAUGGUUAUAUAUUGUUGCAUUAAGUGGUAGGCGUUGAUAUGACACCCUUGCUGCAUAAUAACUACCUUGUCCACCUUAAACAUUACCGAAGUAGGUCCAGGAUCGAAGUGAUGCUUAGCCAUGCUUAGCUCGGUAGAAGCCAGGUGAUUUCCUGUCACCUGCGAGAGUUAGGUGGAUGAUGAUCACGGUGGGCUAUAUUUGCUAUCGUGGAGAUAACCAGGUGGUAAAAAUGAACUUGAGACUGGGCGGGAUGACGAUAGCACAGCAACAAGGCAUGGAGGUCUUGGGUGUGAAUCUAUCCCCGUCUGUGUCGUUUAAGGACCGAAUCGCUGUACGUCCCCGUGUCAUGUUGAACGCAUGCCUAUCACUUAGUUGGCCGGAUAAGUCGUUCCGACCGCGAAGCCUACGAGUGCAACUCAGGCCGGAUACCCCAUUCUGUAUGAGUGCGCACCCCGGUUGGUAGCAAGGAUGUGCGGGGAGUCAAUGGCGUAAGACCGAGGUGUCAGGUUAGAGUCCUGACCCUGGCAGAUUGGCGGUCCCUGGGGGUGCGGCGCUGGACGGACCCGCGAAUUGGUCCGGAGUUGUGCUAAAGGUGCUCCGAGCUGCCGUCAUGAAGUAUGCUUGGGUGAGUGUUAGGAAUACCCCUCCAGCUGGAUAGGAAUCGAUUCGAAUCGCCGUCUCCCGGAUAGUGAGAACUUGACUUGGGCAGCGGCAACGUAGAACUCACUAAGCAAACAUAAUGGUUAUGGUGAGAAUGUUGAUAGCAAAGUGAUAAUCCUGAUAUGGUUAUUAUUGAAUUGAUUAAUUACUCAAGUGUAUGCUUAGAACAGGUGCUAAUCUAGUGGAUAGCUGCUAAGUAAUGAACUUGCUGCUGAAAUAUGAAUAAAUGAAUUACUUAUAACAAAGGCUUUUAUGCAAAAAGUGAUUCAAACCAGUCCACUAAGAUCAGCCUUGCAUACUCCUUGGUGUCACUUUAUUUCUGGUUUAUGACGGGUAAGUCUAGCUGAGUACAUUCUCGUACUCAGGGUUUUAUUUACCCCUGUUGCAGAUGAUGUCGUCUAUCACGGCUAUUGCGCUGUCAUCACCCAGCUGCGGAUGAUGAAUAGAUCAUGGGCGUGAUCGCUCUUCUACCUUCAGUUAUACUUUUGUGGGGAUUGACCAUGGAACUGGCAUGUAUUAUAAACUGGGUUGUUGUUGUUUCAAAACUACUUUGUUUCCGCUACUGCUAUGGUUUGUAAUAACCUGAUUCAACUCUGAUGUGAUGUAAAACUAUGUUAUGUGUUGAAUGUUGUAAUCUGUGAUGGUGAUGCUUGAUCAUGUACGAUCUUGGUUGUAUGAUGGUUGAAUCGAGGUCUUUUGAGAUUUCGUCGGACUACCGGGUUUAUAUGGGUUCAAGUCCAUUGGCUUGACUGCCUCAGUGGUCGCUAAUUCACUUGAAUUCUUAUAAAUUGGACGGUUCUGUUACAGCUGGCAUCAGAGCAAGAUUAAGCAUAUAACCAUCAUAGAUGUAUUUGAAAACAAAUGAAUUUGGUUUUCUCAAACUAAUUUGGCAAAUUAGGUUAUAAAUAGGGUUGUUUUAAAAAGGUUUUGAUAACUUAUACCAUGCCAGUGGUCAUGCCCUUUAUGCCCAUAUAAGGACUUCUAGGUGGCUUAUCAUUACUAACAUGGGGGUUUUCCUUUCGUCGUCCAUAUGGCGUGCAAUUAUAUGGAUACCGCUUACUUAAGUGGUAAUGAAUGGAUCACAUACCUCUACGCCAUGGUAAGCAUUGUUUGUUUUCUUUCGUCGUCCAUACGGCGUGAAAUUGUAUGGAUGCCACUUGCUUGAGUGGUAAUGUAUGUAUCUAUAUGACUCUACGCUACGGUAAGUGUGAGCUGUGAGAGCAUGACCGUCCAACCGUCGGUCUAGGGGAGUGUUAGCUGUGGUUACUAGAAUAUUUACAUGUUUCACACACAUGUAUAUAUGAAGGUACUUAAUUGUGGGUAGUAGGUGCAGCCAUGUGUACAUAUUUGAUGUAUAUGUGGGUGUAUCCCAAAUGGGUAGUGUGCUGCGGUAUAUGUUCGGGAAUAUAUACUGGGGUACCUAGCUUGAUUGAUGGUUGAUUGGAUUUACAUUUCUGCACUUAUACUACUGUGGGGCUGGGCUGAAAUGAAAUCUUCUGCAGGUACACUAACAACGAAACGUGUAGACCGAGUAGUUGCGUAUAAAGAGUGCACGUAUGUAUGCCACCGACUAUACCGUUAGAACUUUCUUCUAAGUUUGGAAAGGGCGUAUGGAACGUGCAUGCAUCAUGAAUCAUUCAUACAUUCUUUAUGCAAUACUAGGGUAUUUAAUUCUGAAAAUAUGAUUCUUUAUCUCUCCUUAUAAUUAAUCUCCCUUACUCAAAUGUGGUCUUUCUACAGAUGGCAGCCCCGCACGCGAGUGAGACUUUCCUGGACAUGUUUGGCACUCCUACAUUGUUGUGGAGGGUGCUAAGUUCAGUUGGAUAUGAGGAACCACCUAAGUACACUUGGACCGAGGCUGAGCAUGCAGGGGCCUUACCUUGGGUAGAUGUCCAAAUUACAGUUCCCCCCUGUCCAAAUAACCCACAGUGGCUAGGUUGGUUAGUUGACUGUGAUGGCCAAACUCCUUGGGAGGGUGCCCAAGUGGCAGCCCUGGAGGUUUUGCUAGAGAUUUGCCAAGAGCAUGGUGAUGAGCUAGUGAAUGGCCCAGCGGGAUCCGUUCCCAGAGUGAGUAUGACUGACACAUUUGUGUCCCAGGUUGGGAAUGAGUCUUUAGAAAUGAGAGAAACCUUGCUAGGGUAUAGUUCUAGCCCUGCCAUGAGUGCCAUGCUAGCGGUACUUAAGCUGUACUAUGUACGCCAGGACACCUACAUAGAUGCCAUGCUAGCGCUUCAACAAGCACAAGUUGGGCAGCGCAAACUACGCAAGCGUGUGCGCAAGCACUGCAAGGCUUUUAUGGAUGCACAAGCUGAAAUCCAAAACUAUCACACCGCCUUGCAAGCCCGCCGCAACCAAGUUGAGAAUGCAGUUAGAGAGCGCAAUGAGGCACAAGCCCGCAUGAUGCAAAUGACUAGAGAGAGAGAUGAGGCUAUGCGCUUGGCUGAAAAUAGAGAAGCUGCUAGAGUUAGAGCCUUGUUCCAUGCUGAAAUGAGAGAGGAAGAGCUGAUUACUAGGAUUGCUGAGCUGCAGUUGGAUGUCCAUCGCUUAAAUAAUAUUAUAAAUCCUAUCCCACAACCAGCCCCUUUUAAUCAUGAAGAAGCUCCUAGUGUGGAAGAUCAGCAUGAUGGCAUCAUUUCUAAUGGAGAGUCUGAUGAAGAUAUGUAGCCUAGCAAUAAUUCUAUGAUCAUGUGUCAAUUUCCAUCUCUUUAUGUAAUGGACAUGUAAUCUGAAUUUUAGUUAAGACUCUAUGUAUUUGGCCAUGGUGCCCCUCCUGUAAAACUUAAGUGUGGCAAUGCCUCUAUGUAACCUUAUGCACUUAUUUGUGAUGCUCCAUGUUUAUGUUGAGCUGAAAUGAAUCUCUGCAAUGUCGUUAAUCCUUGAAAAAUUGUGGCUGUGAAUGAUCGCGAGAAUAACCAAGUGUCAUGGAAGAUAUUUUCUUAUUGUACAUGGAUUAUUGUGCCUUGAAUUAUGUGAAAUUACUUCAUUAAAUUCCGUAUGGCAGCAAUUGAAGUUCAUGACAAUUAUAUCUGUUGCCUAAAACAAUCGCUUGGUAUGCCUUGUGCAGAUGGCUCGCAAUACUCGCUCCGGUCACAACGAGGUGCCGCAACCACCACCUCCUCCCCCGCCUACGCCUACUGAGCUAUUGGCAGCUCUUGUUGAGGGCCAGCGUAUGCUCAAUGAGGCCAUGCAAACUAUGGCGCAACAGAACCGGGGUGGUCGCCAUGUCCGCCAAGACGGAGAGGCAAAUCAGUACAGCAGUUUCAAGGAUUUCCAGGACACCAAGCCGCCACUGUUCAAGGAGGUUGUUGAACCUCUAGAAGCUGAUGAGUGGCUUAACACUCUUGAACAGAAAUUCCGUUUGCUAAGGUUAACCGAAGAGCUAAAGGCGGAAUAUGCAGCCCACCAGUUGGAGGGCAAAGCGGGUGUUUGGUGGAGUCAUUACAGGACUAGCUUGCCCGCCAAUGCUGUAGUAACCUGGGACCAGUUCCAGACUGCUUUCAGGAACACUUAUAUUCCACAAGGCUUAAUGACUAUCAAGCAUACUGAGUUCAUGAACCUGACGCAAGGCACUAAAAGCUUGACUGAGUAUCUUCAUGCUUUUAAUAAUUUGUCUCGAUAUGCUCCUGAGAUGGUUGACACCGAAGUCAAGAAGCUCGCUAGUUUCAAGAGAGGGUUGGGACCCAAGUUGUCCAAGAACAUGGCUGGUAACAAGAGUACCACCUUUAAUGAGUUUGUAAGUGAUGCGUUGACUCAAGAGAACUCCAAUGCCGUGUAUGCCCCGUCCAAGAACCGCAAGAGGGCCUAUGAGGCAGGUGCUUCACAGUCCAAGGCUCCAGUGGCAAGCAAGCCGGCCUAUCGCCCACCCAAUGCUGUGACAAGGUAUAGGCUGCCGCAGAAAAAGUCAAAUGUGAAGACGGGAGUUCGCAAGUCCUACACAGUUGCUCUCCCAAGAGGUGCCACGGGUCAAGGAGGUCCCAAGACUCCUCCUGAUAACCGUCCCUGUUUCAAUUGCAAGCAAGUUGGUCACUGGGCGAGAGAUUGCCCUUAUCCUAAGAGGAAUGCUGCAGCUGGAGGCAAUAACCGUAUGGGCCGAGUGCACUAUAUCACCAUUGAAGAAAUUCCUGAAGGUGAAGUAGUCACGGCUGGUAUGUUCCUUGUAAAUCAACACCCUGCAGUUGUCUUGUUUGAUUCUGGAGCUUCACAUUCAUUUAUGAGUCAAGCAUUCGCAUCUAAGCAUGGGCAACAUGUCAUCAACCUUGAUAGUGGCAAGUUUUGCAUUAGUGCUACUGGUAAUCAAAUUGCUACAAACCAAGUAGUGAGGGAUGUACAAAUUGCCAUAGAAGGGCGUAAUUAUUCAGCAAAUCUUGUGAUUUUACCGGGCUUGGGAAUAGAUGUUAUCCUAGGAAUGAAAUGGAUGAGUGAUCAUGGAGUGUUAAUAGACACUUCAACUAGGGUCAUCAUGUUGAGGGAGCCUGAUAGUAAGGAAGCUUUCUUAGUUCAACUCCCUAGAAGCAAUGACAUCCGUCACGCGGCCAAUGCUAUUCGACCACUCACUAUAGCAGAAAUUCCGGUAGUGUGUGAGUUUCCGGAUGUUUUUCCAGAGGACCUGCCCGGGUUGCCGCCGGACAGAGACAUUGGAUUUAAAAUUGAUCUAAUUCCGGGUACCGCACCUAUCUCUAGAAGGCCCUAUCGAAUGCCACCCAACGAGUUGGCAGAGUUGAAAAAGCAAUUGCAAGAACUGCUUGAGAAAGGUCUUAUUUGGCCUAGUUCUUCUCCAUGGGGUUGUCCGGCUCUCUUUGUCAAGAAGAAGGACAAGUGUCUGCGUAUGUGUGUAGACUAUCGUCCGCUCAACGCCGUGACUAUUAAAAACAAGUACCCAUUGCCUCGCAUUGAUAUCCUGUUUGAUCAAUUAGCCAAGGCUAAAGUAUUCUCCAAGAUUGAUCUGAGGUCUGGGUAUCAUCAAAUCAAGAUCCGACCUGAAGACAUUCCUAAAACGGCUUUCUCUACCAGGUAUGGGUUGUAUGAGUAUUUAGUUAUGUCCUUUGGUCUGACUAAUGCCCCUGCUCAUUUCAUGUACCUGAUGAAUUCGGUGUUCAUGCCUGAACUGGACAAGUUUGUGGUGGUGUUCAUCGAUGAUAUAUUGGUAUACUCUGAAAAUGCACAAGAACAUGAGGAGCACCUUCGGAUUGUACUCACUAGAUUGCGAGAACAUCAGCUUUAUGCCAAGUUUAGCAAGUGUGAGUUUUGGCUGAAGAAAGUGCCUUUCCUAGGCCAUAUUUUAUCCGAAGAGGGUAUUUCUGUUGACCCGUCAAAGGUGCAGGAGGUUCUAGACUGGAAGGCCCCGACUUCAGUGCACGAGGUUCGGAGUUUUCUCGGUCUAGCUGGUUAUUAUCGUCGCUUUAUUCCAGACUUUUCCAAAAUAGCUAAACCUAUGACCCAGCUACUGCAAAAAGAUGUGAAGUUUGUGUGGACCAAGGAGUGUGAAGUUGCUUUCACCACUUUACGUCAUUUGCUGACCACCGCUCCUGUUUUGGCACAACCUGACAUUGAAAAGCCAUUUGAUGUCUUUUGUGAUGCAUCUGGCACUGGCCUAGGUUGUGUGCUUAUGCAAGAAGGCCGAGUUAUUGCCUAUGCUUCUCGGCAAUUGAGGAAACAUGAAGCCAACUACCCUACCCAUGAUCUAGAGAUAGCAGCAGUUGUACAUGCAUUGAAACUCUGGAGACACUAUCUGUUGGGUAAUCUUUGUCACAUUUACACUGACCAUAAGAGCCUCAAAUAUAUAUUCACUCAGCCCGAACUGAACAUGAGACAAAGAAGAUGGUUGGAGUUGAUAAAAGACUACAAUCUAGAAGUACACUAUCAUCCCGGCAAGGCCAAUGUUGUAGCUGAUGCUCUCAGUCGGAAACAACAUGUUAGACCUCUCCUAGAGGAAGGCUUCAAUUUAUUGCAUCCUGUGGUCCUGCACAAUGUUGACACUUGCUAACACUACUUGAAUACUAGGUUGUCAUCCCCAGCAUGGCACUAGAGUAUUUAUACGCACACAGAUAAUCCGCAAGCGCACGGAUACCGUUGAAGCUUUUACCCGGUUAAAGGUUUUAUCGUAUCCACAGGGAAACGGGAGAACCAACUACGCUCUAACUUAACCAAGAUAGAUAGAUAGGUGUAAAUAGGAAAGAUGGUAGAAUCGAAUAAGAACAAUAUUAAAGGUAAGAUAACAGUGAGUGAUAAUAUGGGAAUAGAGAGUAGAGCAAUUCUAGUAUAUGGGCGAUGGUAGCAGAAUAGAGAGGAUAACUAUGAUUUCUCUACUUCAAAGGGGUAUGUCUAUGUCUGGGACGAACCACGUGAUAAGAGUACACCACAAAGGAUGCUUAUCCAUAGGCCGAUAAACCCUACCCGUCCUGCUAACGAGAGGUGGACUACAGGGGACCAACGUAACUGUCACCUACGCGGCCUACCACACGAUCCAGCUAGUCAGGGGAUAUCCACAAGUAAUCUAGGUCUAAGCACCACGCUUACACCUAUACUACAACUCUAACCUAUAUGGUCCUAUAGAUUAGAAGUACUCAAAAGAGUUGUGAACCAGAACAUACAUGAUUAGUAAUUGCAUAAUGAAUUAGAAGUAGAUUACCAGAGUCAUCCCAUGAGCAAGCUUGAUUAGAGCUUGAUCAUGGCGAAGUACAACCGGAGGAAGAACCGACAGGCCGGCCUCUCCUCUAAUCCUCCUUCGCUCUCCAUCUCGCUACUAUCUAGAUCUACUCUAGUUUAGAGAAGAGAGGAGAGCUCUCAUCUCUAAACCCUAGCUUUUGCUCUGUCUAUGAAUAAUGAAUAAUGAUAAAGGGGUGUCUCCUCCAGGGGCCAGGAGGUCUGGUUUUAUAGUCCCCUCAAGUGAACCUGGGCCGUCGGAUCAAACCGACAUUGAUUGAACGGUUAUUCUUGAUCCUUUAGGUCGGUGGAGCAUAAUCCGCGAGAUUGAGCGUGAUUGGCCACAUGAGGUGGGUGGGCGCCCAGUAGGACAGGGCGGGCGCCCUGUCUCUGGCCCCGUUUUGCCUCCGCUUCGGUCUCGUGGCUUCUAGAGUCUUCUAGAUGUAAGAUAAUUGCGCAGCACGUUAAUAUCUUUACGUAAUCCCGACAUGUGGGCCUUUCUUCCAUAUUUCCUGAUAACCCCCUCCAGAAAUAGACAAACACCAAAACUCGUGGAAUUCUGUCAGAUAAAACCCUAAGUCUAGAUGUUGAUUUCAUUUGGAUCGUUUUCUUUAUUUAUUUGAUAAUUAAAUUUGAUACUUAAGGACCGUCAACAAAUUCCCCCAAGCUUACCUAUUGCUCGUCCCUGAGCAAGGAUAGAUUCAGCAAUGGAUCAGAAGUUGUUGCAAUAUCUUUAAAAAUUGACGGUACACAUGCUUUUUAAGUAAGUUCUCAUCUCUGAGUUAGAGUAAACUGUCAAGAACUAAAACUUACUUACUUUACCUUUCACCAUGGGACUUGUAACCGUCACUUCUGUCUUGAGUAGUUAAAAGAUAGAACAGUCUAGCCAAGUGCCAUGUCUCUUAUUCUUGAUCAGCUAUAGCUCUGGAGUUUUUGCAGAUUUUCAAAUAAAACUCAGAGAUUCCUUUGUAUGACUCUCUCAUAUCUCUCUUUUGUGGUAUUUCUGGAUCCUUACCAAGGCAGUGAUGGUAUAUGCCUUCUCUCAAAAUAUGUGGUAUUUGUGGUAUAAGGCAUAGUGACAUUGCCUUCUCUCGCACCCUACUCUAAUAAGGCUUUAAUAUCUGGAGCUCAUAGGUGGGAGAUAAAGUACACAUACUUACAAGACAUUUAUUAUGUAGUCAAACCAUGGAUCCAGAGAAACAAAUCAAUAAGCCAAAUCAAGAUGUGCAUGUGUGGCGAAUGAAUGGUGUAUAGUGAUGAUGGUGAUAACAAUGGUGAAAGUGUAAUUCUACUUUUGCUCUUAUGAGGGGAUACAUACCUUCCUUGUUUUUUGAAAUUUUAUGAGGAGAAUGAGAUGCUCUUCUUUUUCUUUUCUCUCAGAUGGGUAUCCUGUACCUCUAAUUCUACUAUCGGACACUUGUCCAUUUUUACCUCUCAUCUCACUCUUUUUCUUUUCUUUCGAGGUUCCGGGCACUUACCCCUUUUUAUUUCCUCGUUUAUUUUUUUUAUUUUCUCUUUUUUUUUUCUUCUUUUUUUCAGAGCACUCAUCUCUUAAGAUAAUAUAGCAAGUGGUAGUAGCAAGAUAACUUGAGCAUUUAUUUCACAAGGGAAAAACACAAAUGUUUUUGGCUAUUCUCUCCCGAAUUAGUAGAAUAUUUUUAGGUGAAACUGGAGAUGGAAAUGGAUGGAUAUAUGUGGAUGGUACUUCCGGAGUAGAAGUAGCAUAUAUGAGUGAACGUGCAAGUGAAUCUUGAUUUAACCACAUGACAAGCUCCUAAGGGUCUACACAGCUUGACCACACUCAAUGCUCAUAAGCAGUAAAUAGUAAAUGUGUGGCUCAAAGUCUAGCAAGCAUGUAUAUAUGGCUGUGGUAGGAAUUUAAAUUCUCAUCAUACAGGAACUCAUCAUGCAAUAUUUUUAAAGAUUUUUCAAAGAUAAAAUUCUCCAGAAUUCUAGCAUCUCUAGGAACAGAUAAACAGCAGCUCAACCUUCCCAUAUCAUAUCCGUUAACAACUUAGAUUUCAGAUCAAGUUUUCAUCCCACAAGUUUAGAUCUAGAGCAAGCUUUAAAUUAUAACAGUUAUGUCUAAACUUGAGAGAGAACUUCAAAUUUGCAAAUUAGGCAGAGCAACUAUUCAUCAUAUCCAUGCUAGAGUUUUAUUAUUAAGAUUCAGAUUAGCAUAGCCACUUUAUUUAUUUAUUAAACACACUAAGCAAAAGAUAUAUAUAAGCACAAAAUCUUUAUUUGGUUUUUCAUAGUUUAUGUAUUUUAAUAUUCUAAUAUAAUAUAAGUAUAAAGAUAGGUAGAAAUACUUAGCGAGAUAAAUGGGGGUGCUCUCCCCCAAGCUGAAUUUUGACGUAAUUUCUCUUGAUGUAGCUAGCAGGUGGCAGAGGUGUAUUUGAAAGUCACCAGCAUUCUGACAGCGAUUAGAAUGUCCUCCGUCUCCUAGUCUUCUUGAUUCUUAAAUUCUGUAGAGCUCAAAUAGACAACAAAGCUUGUGGAACUAAUUAAGUGUUAGCAUAAAUAUCUAGCCUUCAUCACGUUGAGCUUCCUCAAUAAAUAUUACUCCUUGUUUUUAUAUUUUUCUUUUAUAAAGUAGAAAAGAAAUAUUUAUUUUAUUUUUAUGCCACCACAGUGAAGGUACUUAUGGGUUUUAUGCCACUCGUAUACUCACAUGGGGCUUAGUAUUUUUUAACAUUUUUAUUUUCUUUUCAAGAUAGCAUGAUUAACUAAUAAUCUAUUUAAGGAAAGUAAAUAAUUAAAUGGAAAAGAGAAUGCAGAAAGGAUAAAUAUGGAUAACUACCAAUCUUACCUUUCGGCGAGGGUUCAAUGUUUUAAGUCUUCUUGUCAAGACUUCUCAUCGUGUUCAUUCUUUAGGUGCGUCAUUUGAUUCAGGUGCGGACCUUGACGUCUGCACCUUUUAAUACGGUGUCACCCAUGUUCUUCGUUUGCCCAGCAGUUCGAAGUGAGGUGUUAGCAGUAUCUUGCUCAGUGUGUUUGUGCUCGUAGUGUACCUGCUCAUAGAGACAAUGCAGAGAUCAAGUGCAUGGGCCCUGUUAGUGGAAAACACCAACAGAACCAAAAGUGUAUUUGUUCUUCUCUAACCUUAAGCAUAGUGAGCAAGACAAAGUUGAUGGAUGAUAAGUUCAUGAGUGUAGCACUUAUAACAUUUGUUAGAUCAGAUCGCUCAACCUUAUGGAAAGAUAAUCUAUCUAUGUAUAUGUCUUUUUCUUUAUAUCUCUCAAUGAUUGAAUGUGUAACAUUUUAGCUCAUAUGAUUAGGAGUGUGGGAUCAUGGAGGUAGUACUAAGAACAAGGAUUAAAGGACUAAACAUGUUGAAUCAGUUGGGUUGGUUAAUCUAGAGUUGUAAAUCAUACGUGUUUGUCUCUUUUAUUUAUAUGAACGCCAGAACCAAGGAGAAGCUUAUAAAAGUGAUAGUCAAGUACCUUAAGAUGUUACCUUGCUCGAAGAGUGAUGGUACAGUAUCAUCUUGUGGAAGCUUUCCUUUCUUAGCGGUUGUGCGUCGUGUUUGUGGCACCCUCCAUGGAUCAUCUCUCUAUGAUGAAUGAGCUGUGUCCUUCUUGUGCAAAUUGUUAAACUUCAUGUGUCACUCUCUUCGUCUCUGAUGUGAGUUUAUCUCAGGACUUCCCAAAUCGAUAUUCAAAGUUUUUCUGUAGGGGUUAGUCCGACAAAAUAUACCAAUAUCUACUCAAGCAGUUUUUUUUAGUUCAAUAAACCAAACUAGACUCCAUGUCUAAUCAGAUUAAGAAAGGCUAUUUAACCUAAGCACCAUGCUUAAUUUAAAUGCCAAUGGAAGUAUGGCGAGUACUUCCAAACCAACACUUGCUAGUAAAUAGACAAAGGUAGCAUGACAGCAUUUAUAGAGAUCUACUCAAGUGGAGAUGAAGUAGUGUGAUUAGUAUUUAACAAAUUGAGCAUGUCUCAAAGGUAGGGACAACCAGCAUAGCAACAUGGCAAAGGAUGUUUUUAUGUAAAGUACUCCCCCAAGCUUGAAUUUUGCAAAAAUUCAAGUUUGGAUGAAUUUAAUUCAAUGUUGUAUGAUGAUUGGUUGGACAUACCUUGUGCUUGUCAUUCAUCCGAUCUUCUUGCUCCAAUCUUAGAAAGGUUAGUGACAAGAAUACCCGAAGGAAUAUUUUUUAUUUUACAAUUAUCCUUAUAUGCUCAAUACACAAGGUAAUGUUGCAAAUAAUUAAAGGCUCAUGUUACGAUCUGAUCAAUGCUUAUUUUAAGACACUAAGCUUGUCUUUGGGAAACCAUCAGUUUAUGUUGGCGAAGUGGUUUCCCCUCCGACGCCAACCUAUAUCUGGAUCAACUCAACGAGAUCUGCAAUAUUUAUUAUAGACAUAUUCAUCGACAACCGCCCUUUUAAAGUUUUUAUAAAUAGAAAGGAAGAGGGGGUUGGAGAUCUCAGGUGUGGUGAUGUCGGAGAGACCAAUAGAUUGGGAAGAUGUUGCAUAUGAGCAUGGAGUAAACAAAGUGGCUAUGAAAUAAAUUCCACGCUCAUUAAUGUUAUCUUCGUCUCCAAUCUGAAUGUUUAGAGUUUCUCUUGGAUUGGUCUCACCUAUGUCCUCUUCUGUAGUUGGAUGAAUCUCAUCUUCAAAGGGAGUCAAGAACUCACCAUUUGAAAUUGAGCCAAAGUCAGAACCCAUUAAGGCUUCUUCCUUAUCCAUCCAUUCUACACAUUCUAGCCAUUUAGAACUUGUGAUCAAAAUAGGGGAGGUGUUAGAAUUUUCUAUAUGGCUUAGCUCUCCUUCUAUGGCAUUACUUGACAUGCCAUCCUUAUGGUCUUCAUGACUCCUAUGGUUUGGUCGUCUUGGUGAAUUGCUAGGAUCAUCAUGAGACUGAAAAGAAGAGGGAUCUCUAAGGUCAAGGAUGGAUUUAGAACUUGUGAACAUGGAAGGGGAGUAGAUAGAAUUGUCUAUAUGGCUUAGCUCUCCUUCACUUGAUAUGUCAUCCUCGACUUCUUCAUGAUAGGAACCAGGACAUUCUCUAAGAGAAAUAUUAUUGCAAGGAUUUGAAUUAUCCCCGCUUGAAGGUCUCUUAUAGAACCAGAAGUCUAAACCAUCAGCAUCUAAAAGAUUUAAGGUCGGAAUUCCUUCUUCCCUUGGAAAAUUUUGGGGUAUUGAUGGUUUAGGAUCGAUAGCUAAAGUUUGGGAUUGAAGUGGUUGUGAUCUGGCUAUCGAAACUUCUUCUUCUUGUCUAGGAACUGGUUCUUUCUCUUUCUCAGGGAUGUAAAAGCUAGGAGACUUUCCGCUCAUUAAAUCAAUCAAAUUCCAAGCUUCACUAGCGGAUAGGUGGUGGAAAGAUCCUCCAGAGGCCGCAUGAAGGGUUUGCUUAUCUUCCUUACUAAGGCCCUCAAAAAAGUGAAUUAGAAGAACUUCUUCUGGAAUAGAAAGUUUUGGGCCAGUGAGAGUAAGGUUAAUAAAGCGGUCCCAUGAUUUGCCAAGAGAUUCUUCUUCCAGUUGUCUAAAAGAAAGAAUCUCACGCUGAAGUUCCACCACUUUGGAGAUUGGAAAAUAUUUAGAAAGAAAACUACUAUAUAACUCCUUCCAAUCUCCAUGAACACUCCCUACUUUGAGUUUAUACCAAUGUCUAGCUUUUCCCGUUAAAGAGAACGGAAAGAGCUUCCAUUUAAGGGUCUCAUCGGACAUGCCUUCUAUGCGAAGGAGGUCACAGACUCGAUAAAACUCUCUUAGGUGUGUGUAUGGGUUUUCCUCACCUUCUCCUGAGAAAGGUUGUUUUUGAAUAAAUUCUAUGUAUUCGGGGUCUAUCUCAAAACUAGAUGCUAUGAUAGGCUUUGAAGAUUUUGGUGGUUCGAGAUGUGUGCCCAUAGGUCUAUGAAAUUCAUAGAUAGACAUGUUUGAAUUCAUAAUAGACCAGAGAUCAAGGAUUAGAUAAGAAGAAAGAAUAGCAGAGAUGAGGCAAAGGAUAAAAGGAAAAUAUAUUUUUUUAUUUAUUUAUUUAUUAUUAUUUUUUUUAUAAAAUAAUUAAACUAGUUCGUAGUCAACUCAGCAACCGUUUCCCCGGCAACGGCGCCAAAAAUGCUUGUUGACACUUGCUAACACCACUUGAAUACUAGGUUGUCAUCCCCAGCAUGGCACUAGAGUGUACUAUGGUAUUUAUACGCACACGGAUAAUCCGCAAGCGCACGGAUACCGUUGAAGCUUUUACCCGGUUAAAGGUUUUAUCGUAUCCACAGGGAAAUGGGAGAACCAACUAUGCUCUAACUUAACCAAGAUAGAUAGAUAGGUGUAAAUAGGAAAGAUGGUAGAAUCGAAUAAGAACAAUAUUAAAGGUAAGAUAACAGUGAGUGAUAAUAUGGGAAUAGAGAGUAGAGCAAUUCUAGUAUAUGGGCGAUGGUAGCAGAAUAGAGAGGAUAACUAUGAUUUCUCUACUUCAAAGGGGUAUGUCUAUGUUUGGGACGAACCACGUGAUAAGAGUACACCACAAAGGAUGCUUAUCCAUAGGCCGAUAAACCCUACCCGUCCUGCUAACGAGAGGUGGACUACAGGGGACCAACGUAACUGUCACCUACGCGGCCUACCACACGAUCCAGCUAGUCAGGGGAUAUCCACAAGUAAUCUAGGUCUAAGCACCACGCUUACACCUAUACUACAACUCUAACCUAUAGGGUCCUAUAGAUUAGAAGUACUCAAAAGAGUUGUGAACCAGAACAUACAUGAUUAGUAAUUGCAUAAUAAAUUAGAAGUAGAUUACCAGAGUCAUCCCAUGAGCAAGCUUGAUUAGAGCUUGAUCAUGGCGAAGUACAACCGGAGGAAGAACCGACAGGCCGGCCUCUCCUCUAAUCCUCCUUCGCUCUCCAUCUCGCUACUAUCUAGAUCUACUCUAGUUUAGAGAAGAGAGGAGAGCUCUCAUCUCUAAACCCUAGCUUUUGCUCUGUCUAUGAAUAAUGAAUAAUGAUAAAGGGGUGUCUCCUCCAGGGGCCAGGAGGUCUGGUUUUAUAGUCCCCUCAAGUGAACCUGGGCCGUCGGAUCAAACCGACAUUGAUUGAACGGUUAUUCUUGAUCCUUUAGGUCGGUGGAGCAUAAUCCGUGAGAUUGAGCGUGAUUGGCCACAGGAGGUGGGCGGGCGCCCAGUAGGACAGGGCGGGCGCCCUGUCUCUGGCCCCGUUUUGCCUCCGCUUCGGUCUCGUGGCUUCUAGAGUCUUCUAGAUGUAAGAUAAUUGCGCAGCACGUUAAUAUCUUUACGUAAUCCCGACAUGUGGGCCUUUCUUCCAUAUUUCCUGAUAACCCCCUGCAGAAAUAGACAAACACCAAAACUCGUGGAAUUCUGUCAGAUAAAACCCUAAGUCUAGAUGUUGAUUUCAUUUGGAUCCUUUUCUUUAUUUAUUUGAUAAUUAAAUUUGAUACUUAAGGACCGUCAACACACAACAUCAUAGUCAGCUACUCAUUAGAAAGUCAAAUCAUAGAGCUCCAAAAAUCUGAUCCUAGUAUUUAUCAUAUCAAGAGAAAAAUGCAAGAGCAAGACACCAAGCAUUUCAGGGUAGAUGAGAAAGGUGUACUGUGGUUUGACAAUCGAUUAGUUGUACCUAAAGAUCGUGACCUACGCAACAAAAUCCUAGAAGAAGCUCACUCUUCCAAACUAUCCAUUCAUCCGGGUAGUAGCAAAAUGUAUCAAGACUUAAGACCUCGUUUCUGGUGGACCAAAAUGAAGAAAGAAAUAGCAGCUUAUGUCGCAAGGUGUGAUACUUGCUGCAGGGUAAAAGCAGUUCACCUCAAACCUACAGGUUUAUUGCAACCCUUGUCAAUUCCAAGUAGGAAGUGGGAAGAAAUCAGCAUGGAUUUCAUUGUUGGACUUCCCCUUACUCAAAAAGGACACAACUCUAUAUGGGUGAUUGUUGACCAUUUGACCAAGUCAGCUCAUUUUAUUCCUGUACACUCUACAUACCGGCCAUCUGACUAUGCUGACUUGUACUUCUCUCAGAUAAUUAAAUUGCACAGAGUGCCUCGCACUAUUAUUUCUGAUAGAGGUCCUCAGUUCACUACUCACUUUUGGGAGCAUCUGCAUUCACUCCUUGGCACAAAGUUGGUUCGCAGUUCAGCCUAUCAUCCUCAAACCUCCGGUCAAACUGAGCGUGUGAAUCAAAUUUUAGAGGAUAUGUUGAGGGCUUGUGUUAUAUCUUCCAAGGGUGCAUGGGAGAAAUGGCUACCGUUAGCUGAAUUCUCUUACAAUAAUAGUUAUCAAGAAAGCAUCCAAAUGGCCCCUUUCGAAGCUUUGUAUGGCCGCAAAUGUAGAACUCCUCUAAACUGGGUCGAACCAGGUGAAAGAAGGUACUACGGAAUUGACUUCGUCAAGGAAGCUGAGAAACAAGUUCUCAUUAUUCAGCAACACAUGAGAGCCGCCCAGGCUAGGCAGAAAAGCUAUGCUGACCGAAGAAGAAAGCCAAUUGAAUUCGAAAUAGGUGACUUUGUGUACAUAAAAGUAUCACCCAUGAAAGGAGUAAAUCGCUUCGGCGUUAAAAGAAAGCUUGCCCCUAGGUAUGUGGGUCCCUACUGAAUCAUUGAGAAGAGUGGCAAGGUGGCUUACAAAGUACAACUACCUCCCGAAAUGAGAGCUAUUUUCCUUGUAUUCCACGUGUCCCAACUCAAGAAGUGUCUUCGUGUGCCCGAAGAGAGGGGUGAAACAAGAGAUAUCAAGUUGCAGUCAGACCUAUCUUAUGAGGAAAAGCCUGUACAAGUUCUUGAUGUCAAAGAACGGAUUACACGUGGGAAGGUGAUCAAACGUUUUAGAGUAUUGUGGAACCGUCAAAAUGAGAGAGAUGCCACUUGGGAAAGGGAAGACUAUUUACAAGAAACUUAUCCCACAUUCUAUGAAAAAUGGUACGUCUUUCAAAUCUCGGGACGAGAUUUUUGUAAGGGGGGAGGGCUGUAACACUCCUAGUGUUAGCUUGCAUGUUAACCAUGAGCAUUGCAUUAGCAUAAGCAUCAUCAUGAUCACUCAUGAGCAUCAUACCAUGAUCACAUGCCAUUUGCUUUAUGCACUACAUGAUUAAAUUGCUUGUGUGACUUGAAUUGGGUGACUAUAAGGGGUAGCCAAUGCAAACAAUUGUAUAUUGUCUUCCAAAAUACCUCAAUCAUGCUUAGAAUAUCUUUUGGAACAAAGUUCAUGUUGAAGGUUUUGGCCAAAAAUGUCCCUAAGUCAUGGUUAGCCCUAGAAUGACCUUUUUGACCCUCCUAGACCUCUUUUCAAAAAUGUUUUAUGAAACUGGUGUUAGAUAUCUUUCAUGUCUUUGACACCUGAAACAAAGUUGUAGAGAAUUUCAUAAGCUACAAAAGUUAUGUUGAUGAAUUUUUAUGAAAAAGCUUGGAACACUUUCAAAAUUCACUCACAAGCCAAAAAUCAGGGCUGAUUUCACACUUAGCCGAAUUUGGCUAAGUGUUGGAUCACGCAGUUUCGACCAAGGGUUGUUUGGAGCCUUGUAGUUUGAAAUCCAGACCGAGUUGGACAUUGAUCUUGUAACCAAAGUUGUAGAACUCGUGUAGCUCUGUCCAAAGGAACAAGUUUGAGCCAAAACCACCGAGUGAGCUGAGAGUAAAACGCCGGUGAACUUUGGGUUUCAGACACGGUCGACGACGACUGAAUCGUGCGAUUCAGUUUUGUCAGUCGCCGGCCGGCCGACGCGUGGAUGACCCAUGGCGGCCGUACGUCGACGGCGACCCCACCUGUCAGCCCCGGCGCCUUCACUUGGAUGCCACGACGCCACCCCGAGCCCCGGCCGUCCUCAUUUCGCCUCUCCAGCGCUCUCUCCCUUCUCCAUUUCGCCUCGGCGAGCUCCGCCGUGGAACGGCCGCGUCGCCCGAGCUCCUCUCGCCGUCUCCGGCCAAGCCAGCCCGCCAAAAGCUUCGCCAAAGCCUCCUCUACCUCGGCAUCACCCCCUUGGCCACUGUCAGGCACGGGUAAGGCGGCAUUGCCGAGCUCCGAGCAGUUCUUCCUCGCCGGAGUUCCGCUCGAGCUCACCGGCAACGUGGCCAGGCUUCUCUGCUCCAACAUUUCCCUCCAUUCUUGUUCCUAUCGCUUCCCCUUGGUUCACUGAUGCUCGGCAUGACGCUCUACCGCGUCACCAUUGCCUGGAUCCGCCGGCGUAUCGCCGCGCAGCGCCGCCGCUCCGCCAUUCCCGACGUCGAGCACCCUAGAGUCCAGUAGAGCGCGCGUAAAGUAGGUCAACAGAGUCGCCUUGAUGAGAGGAACACGUAGGUGCCCUUGGAUCCGGCCGAGACCUCGUCGUCGUUGAGCUUCGCCGGCAACGAGCAUCUCCCCUGCCUCUGUCUCACUGACGCGCGGGUCCCGGAUGUCAGCCUCUCUGUGUCACCCCCUCUGAUUCACUGUUUUGCAGAGCCAAAGCUGUUUUUGUAAAAUUCAUAUCUGGAGUUUUAGAGAUCCAAAUGUGGUGCUUCCAAUUUUGCUAAGUUCUAGCUCAAGCCUAGUUUUUAAUAAAAAAUAUGAAACAUGCUAUGUUUUUGCAGAAAUAAAUAGAUAUAAAUUAAUCUUGGAUUUUCAGUGGGUAAUUAUAUCUUGAGAUCUAGUGAUCUGCUGGCCAUGCAAAUUUAGGGAGUUGUUACUUAUGUUAUGAAUAGGCUCUGAUACAUUUUUCAUGAUUUUUGGAAGCCUAGUUAAGAAGUUAAAAAUAAAUCUUGCUUAAAUAGGAGUUUCUUGUGAUAUUUUUAGUAAUUAAGUUAUAACUCCUUUUGUGAUGAAACUUGCUGAGUGUUGUACUUAUGGCUAGACAAAGCUAGGAAAAAUCUGAAAUCUGUUGUUUGACACUUUUUGAUAGGGUUUCACAUUUAUGCCUUGCAUGCCUUUACUAGCUUGUUAAUUUUAUACCUCACAAUGUGUAUGUGCAAAUGUUCUGAAAAUUUUACAGUGAUCUUAUGUUAGCAUAAGUAGCUUGCUGUAAUUUUCUUAGGAUUUUUGGAACACUUGAAGUAUAUGUUCAUUAAAUCACCUUAAUAAUUAAAUAAAUAGAAAAGGUGAUGAUAGAAAUAGUUUUAGACCUUGCCAUGAUGUUUUCUGGUGUUCCUUAGAUAUGUUAUAUCUGUUGGUGCAAUUGGUUUAUCCCUGUGGUACAUUCUCAAUAUGUGCAAAAUAUUAUUUUAGCUAUUAUUGCCUUUCCUAGAGCAUUUCUGUAUAGCUGAUAGCAAAUGAUUGAGAACUACUUGAAGAUUGUGUUUUCUGGGAAACUUGUCUACAACAAACUUGUAGCUAACUUACUGAUAUACUUCUUGUCCAAAUUUCAUGACAAUUGGUUGAGUAGUUUGAAAGUUAUGCAUAUUUCAAGUAGCUGCUGUAAAGUGCUUGCUCUCUGGAAUUCCCAGAGCAGUCAGCCAACUUUGUAUGUUUAGCAUAUUUUGGUUGGGAAUCAUGCUGAGAUGUCAAGAAAUUAAUUGUAGAUAAUUUGCUAAGCUUUCCAGAAAGUACUUACUUGCUUAGUUUGGUUAACUGAUUCUUAAGUUAUGGCUAAAACUUGUGACUGGUUGGCUUGUCUACUAAACCAGUGGCUGAGUAGGAAUAACUAGAAUUUGUUUAACUUGUCCAAUUAGUCUCUCUACCAGAGAAGAAGUAUGCACUGGCUUGUUAUUCCAUGAUUCACUUAAUCUUAGAAGUUUACACUCAUGUUAUACCUUGUCUUAUGUCUUUUUGGCUCCUCAUCAUGAUAUCAUGCAUCAUAUGUGCAUUCUCUAUAUUCAUCUCCUUGUCAUGCAUCCAUAGGUGUACCCAAGGGUGUGACGGUACUGGAGUACGAGUUGCCGGAGCCGGAAGGACAGCAAGGGGAACUACCUCAAGGAGUUGAGGAGGAGGACUUGCCGGAGUGCCCUGACCAUCGUCCCUCUACUUACGUUGAAGGCAAGCCGCGGAGCAUUAUAAGCCUCCUACUAUUUUAUUAUCACAAUCAGCUAUCAAAUGACUAUGGUUAUAUAUUGUUGCAUUAAGUGGUAGGCGUUGAUAUGACACCCUUGCUGCAUAAUAACUACCUUGUCCACCUUAAACAUUACCGAAGUAGGUCCAGGAUCGAAGUGAUGCUUAGCCAUGCUUAGCUCGGUAGAAGCCAGGUGAUUUCCUGUCACCUGCGAGAGUUAGGUGGAUGAUGAUCACGGUGGGCUAUAUUUGCUAUCGUGGAGAUAACCUGGUGCUAAAAACGAACUUGAGACCGGGCGGGAUGACGAUAGCGCAGCAACAAGGCAUGGAGGUCUUGGGUGUGAAUCUAUCCCCGUCUGUGUCGUUUAAGGACCGAAUCGCUGUACGUCCCCGUGUCAUGUUGAACGCAUGCCUAUCACUUAGUUGGUCGGAUAAGUCGUUCCGACCGCAAAGCCCACGAGUGCAACUCAGGCCGGAUACCCCGUUCUGUAUGAGUGCGCAUCCCGGUUGGUAGCAAGGAUGUGCGGGGAGUCAAUGGCGUAAGACCGAGGUGUCAGGUUAGAGUCCUAACCCUGGCAGAUUGGCGGUCCCUAGGGGUGCGGCGCUGGACGGACCCGCGAAUUGGUCCGGAGUUGAGCUGCCGUCAUGAAGUAUGCUUGGGUGAGUGUUAGGAAUACCCCUCGAGCUGGAUAGGAAUCGAUUCGAAUCGCCGUCUCUCCCAGAUAGUGAGAACUUGACUUGGGCAGCGGCAACGUAGAACUCACUAAGCAAACAUAAUGGUUAUGAUGAGAAUGUUGAUAGCAAAGUAAUAAUCCUGAUAUGGUUAUUAUUGAAUUGAUUAAUUACUCAAGUGUAUGCUUAGAACAGGUGCUAAUCUAGUGGAUAGUUGUUAAGUAAUGAACUUGCUGCUGAAAUAUGAAUAAAUGAAUUACUUAUAACAAAGGCUUUUAUGCAAAAAGUGAGUCAAACCAGUUCACUAAGAUCAGCCUUGCAUACUCCUUGGUGUCACUUUAUUUCUGGUUUAUGACGGGUAAGUCUAGCUGAGUACAUUCUCGUACUCAGGGUUUUAUUUACCCCUGUUGCAGAUGAUGUCGUCUAUCACGGCUAUUGCGCUAACUGUCAUCACCCAGCUGGGGAUGAUGAAUAGAUCAUGGGCGUGAUCGCUCUUCUACCUUCAGUUAUGCUUUUGUGGGGAUUGACCACGGAACUGGCAUGUAUUAUAAACUGGGUUGUUGUUGUUUCAAAACUACUUUGUUUCCGCUACUGCUAUGGUUUGUAAUAACCUGUUUCAACUCUGAUGUGAUGUAAAACUAUGUUAUGUGUUGAAUGUUGUAAUCUGUAAUGGUGAUGCUUGAUCAUGUACGAUCUUGGUUGUAUGAUGGUUGAAUCGAGGUCUUUUGAGAUUUCGUCGGACUACCGGGUUUAUAUGGGUUCAAGUCCAUUGUCUUGACUGCCUCAGUGGUCGCAAAUUCACUUGAAUUCUUAUAAAUUGGACCGUUCUGUUACACUAAACAUGUAUAUAGAUCCAAUCUAACUAAGCCAAGUAUAUAACUAUGAUAAACUAAGAACAAUAUAAUCUUGAAUAUAAACAAGUAGAGCAAAGUCAUAAGCAAUAUAUUGAAGUAGAACAAAGUCAUAUUCAUAAUAUUGAAGAACAAGAUGAACAAUUAGAAGAAUAAUUAGAGAAUUACCAAGAAUCCUCUUGACAGAUCCAGAAACCAAUCGAAGAUUGACUCCUUCUAGUUCUAAUCCUAUGUAGCAAUGCUAAUCUAGAUGUCUAAUUGAUGUGGUGGCUCUAGGCUUGAUCAGAGGCUUCUUCUCCCUUGAAGAAUAAUAAAUUAGGGUUGAGAUGUUCUCUCCUCCAGGAGCCAGGGGGUAUGGUUUUAUAGUCCCUUCAAGUGAAUAUAGGCCAUUGGAUCAAACCGACAUAGAUUGAACGGUUAUCCUUGAUCCUUUAGGUCGGUGGAGAUCUUUCCCGAAAAAGUGUCUUGAUUGGAGUCCAACAGGGGGCGGGCGCCCUAGUCUCCUGGGCGGGCGCCCAGGGCCAGGCCCCGUUCGGCCUCCGCUUCCUUUCCGUGGCUUCUGGAGUCUUCUAGAUGUAAGAUAAUUGCGCGGCACGUUGAUAUCUCUAUGUAAUCCCGACGUGUGGGCCUUUCUUCCGUAUUUCCUGAUAACCACCUGCAGAAAUAGACAAACACCAAAACUAGUGGAAUUCUGUCAGAUAAAACCCUAAGUCUGGAUGUUGAUUUCAUUUGGAUCCUUUUCUUUGUUUAUUUGAUAAUUAAAUUUGAUACUUAAGGACCGUCAACAGGUAGUCAUGCUAGUUGGUCUCGUUCCAUGAGGAAAAGUUUUGAGGUAAAAGGAAGCAAGUGUGUUGUCUUCACUCAUAGAUUGGCACAUAGUAUAUGGUGUAUUAACAAGAACUAGUUUUGGCAUGAAUUUGUGUUUCGUAGUUCAUGGUGCCACUUCAAGCUACUAGUUGGUUUGAGGGAAAAGUUGACCCAUGGAAUCAGUGAUCGUCAUCUGCUUGAUGGUUAUUUUAACCAGAAGUUUGGUAACGUCCUCUGGGCAAAUUAAGUGUGAUAUACAGUCUCUAUGUUGUCAUUGGUUGUUCCAUGGAUGAUGCUGUGUCAAGUAAUUGGAGCAUUUAGGAGGAUAACGUCUAGCUCCUAGCUAGUUUAUUCCAGACGAGUAUAUGAAAUUUCUUAGUUUGUUUCUUUUAUUAGGGAAUGAAAGGUCUAGUGGCUUGACCAUUUUAUCGAGAAAGACAGGAGACAAUUUUUUUUAUGGGCCACUUUAAGCUUGUCUUAGAAAUAAGCUAUGUGUUUGUUAAGGUGGCAUUUUGUCAUCAUGUUCUUUGUCAUUGUAGGAAAGUUUGACAACUUGGAAUUUUUUCUAUUUUUUUACAUGUAUGUUUUCCUGCUGUAUGAAGAGCCAUCAAAGUAUGAAAGUGUGGCCUUAGAUUUUUUUAUAACCCCUAUGCUAUUAGAAUGUUCUUACUGAGACCUUGAGUUUGAGUUCAAGCACUGACUGUUCAUAGAUGAUCAAAAUUUCUGAGUUGAGUGUCCCAGUGCAUAUAUAUAUAUAUAUAUAUAUAUAUAUAUAUAUAUAUAUAUAUAUAUAUAUAUAUAUAUAUAUAUAUAUAUAUAUAUGAGUGCCACUCGUUGGUGUUUGUGUUUUAUUUGAAGUGAUUUUUACUAGGUAUCCAGAUCAAAAGUCCUCUCAGUAGUAGUUCCUUGCUUCGUACUACGAGACCUUGGCCAUGUUACAAGUGCAGCCAUUUUAGAGGAGUCUUAUACUUUUUGUUUGCUUAUAAGUGGAGGAAUUCGGAGACGAAUUCUUUUAAGGGGGGUAGAAUGUAAAACUUAGAAUAUGUUUAUUGCGUUAGAAGUGUAAAGUAGCAUAAUAAUAAUAAUAAUUUUUAAUCCAUCACUCAAAUGAGUGAUCAGAGACUAUAGACACGUAGAGCUCGUUGAAUGCUUUCAGUUGCACUACUCAUAUGCAUUGUUUGGAAUUUGGGUCAUGGAGAUAUAAAUUUCAGAAGUUUUGAAGAAGAAAAAAAAUAAACCUGUUACUGUAGCGCGACGCAACAGUACCGUGCUGCUACAGUACCUGUAUCCCCACUCCCAAGACCUUUAGGUGCCAUCCAUAGCUUUUCAUAUUCAGGAGAAAAGAAGAGAGGGGAGAAGAGAGAAAGGAGAAAAGGGAAGGGGAGGUGAGGACCUAGGGUUUUGCCACCGCAGUCGCCACCGCCGCCAUCGCCGCCUUCGGUCAUCCGUGGUGGUCGUUCUUCCUCCUGUGGAAAAUACGGUUAGGUUCUACCUCGUAUCUUGGCUGUCCCAUUGAUCCACCAUGUCGCUUUGCUGUCCAUGAGGGCAUAGCCAUGUUUGGCGUAGAUCGGAAUAACAAGGCCUUUGUGGCGGCAAGGAUCGUGGCGAGUUGGAUCGGAGAUGAUGGAAAGGUGAAGAGGCGGAGAAGAAGGAGUAGACGCCGGGAGUUUCGGCAUCGUGCUCGCUGUGGUUCUUUAGGUGAGAAGCCAAAUAUUAAUCCCCUUCAUCUGAUCAUGUUUUGCGUAUUAAAUCGCUUAUUUGGGAUUGAGUUUAGUGGAGAAAUUCUCGAGAUCAAUUUCGUUCAUGUCUGAAAUUCUCGUCAGACUAAGCAGUCUCUGUUCAUCAUAAUGUUAGGGCAUCUUAGAAUCUUUAAUAAAUUUUGGGCCUGUGUACAGAGUUGUAGAGGACUUAAAUAUCUUUCUUUGGAUGCCAAGAACUCUGUCAUAGCAGUUAUAGUUUGUGAGGUAUCGAGUUUUCAAUCUGACUGUUUUCCAGUGAUGAUAAUCUAGACAGUUUUGGAUUUAAGCAGUUUUUGACCCUGAUAAUGAAAUAAUUAGGUCUUUGAUUAUUAACAAAAGUUUUAGUAUUUUUGUUAAGAUUUCUAGAUUGGUAAAGUUUGUAACAUUUGAAUAAGUAUAUCUCCAGUAUGAAUUUUUGAAAUUUGAUGUUCUGUUUUGAAGGUCAGAAAUAUUUAGUUGUGUUCUAUGGUUAAUUAUACCAUCUUGCAGACCUCUGAUGCAAAACCUUUCAAUACAAAAGUUGUAUAUAACAGAGUUUUACAUGAUCUGACAAAUUGUGGUAAUUUUUGGAUGAAUAUUCUGUAGUAUAUGAAAAAGAGAAGAGUCAGUGCUGUUGUCUUGAUCGGUAGCGCAAACGGUAGAGGCUUGAAUGUCGGGUUUGGGGCGCUUUAGUUUGUAUUUGUUCUUACUUUUGCUUGUAUGUUGGUGUAUGUACUGAGUAGUAUUUGUGAUCAGAUGGUAGCACUUCGGAACAUCGCUAGUGCUUUUGUUCUCUUUCGGUAAAGAGGCAAGUGAAUGUAGCGGUGGUUUGCUACCGUUUUGGCUUGUUAUUUUUAUCACCUACAGUUUAUUGUCUAUAAGAAUGUCAUCCCUCUCAUAUCUAAAAUUCAUAAUUUGGGUAUAUUUAAUCUUAGUUAAAUUGUGGUAUUAUUUAAGUACUUAUGAUGAUGGUAUUAUUUUACAUUGUUAUUUGUGGCUAGCCCACAAACCUGAAUUUGAAGUCGGAGUAUUAUUGGUGAUUUAUUAAUUUUAUUGCAACAUGCCAAGUGCAUUUCAUCAUUCAUUGGCAUUGGAAGUUAUGUCAUGACCUAUGGUCAUGACUGUACUGGUACGCAUCAUGGGAUGCAGCUCCACACCUUGUUGGGUGUGCAGGCAGGAGACAUAUGCAUUGCAUUCAUAUGCAUUCAUGAGAAGUAUGUUAUUGAAGGGAUUUUAUCCACAUUAUUAUGAAGCUCUGUAUUAUUGGCUAUAAUCUAAAUUGGAAGACUGUUACUUUAAUAUGAUAUUAUGUCAAUUGGGAACACCAUACUAAAUUGAUGAUAAUUCAAAUUGUGGUUUAAAUAGUUUGUCAAAACAAGUUCGCUUGCUGAGAUGUUUCAUCUCACCCUUGCUUUACUCAAUCCAGGUACUUGAUGCUUACUUAGAAGGGAAGGGAAUUAGCUGCACGUCACACACUUCUUCAUUUAGAGACCAUGUGUUUUAAUAAAUAAUAAUUUGGUUUGCUUAUUGGUUUUUAUGGUGGUUGUUAAAGUGUGGAUGUUAAACUUAAUUCUUGUUGAAGUAACUUAUUUGUGUUAGGAUGUUCAUUAAUCCUAGUUUGGUAUUUCAGUUAUUUUUAUAUUUUAUUCUUCCGCUUGCUAUAAAUACAAAGAAGAUGCUGCCAAAUUGUUUAUUGGUUGUGUGCGGCUGUUGUUUGUGUAGUCUAGUAGCAUUUCGGUGUAUUUGUGGUUUUUGGGGUGUUACAUCCUGUCUCCCUCCCACCGAGCCUCGGUGGGAUUCGACAAUUUUGAGAAAAUGAAACACAUAUUUUCUAUUAUGCCGGUGGAAAGUAUAGAGAACUUACGGGAAACACUCAUUGGGCGCUGGUGUUGGCAGCAUCGGUCGCCGCACCAGAUGCGCUCUGAGCAUCCGGUGAGUGGUACUUGCUGGGGUGUACACACCGGACCCAUGCAUAGUAACAUGAGUGAGUCUGGUAAUGUGUGUUUGGUGUUUCGCUGCAGAAGCGCUCGUGGCAUCAGACGUAGGAGAGCAUCCGGUGGCCCGCGUCCGGUGACCAAGCGUCAAAAACACCCUCUCCGGUGACUUAACCGUGUCUGGUGGUUUGAAAGUGACCAUUAAAGAUCGAUGCAUGAGAUUCAAAAGUUUGACAUGUGGCUAACUUCUAAGCACCGAACAUAGGGUUUGAGCAUCUGAUGGCUGACCUUCUGCAUUCCUGGUGCCCCCGAGUUUUUUCUAGUGAAAGAGCCAACAUCUCUUUUUGUUGAGGGGACUUAUAAAUAGAAGGUGGAUGGAAUUGGGGAGUUCACUCUUGCACUUUUGAUUGCUUGAGACAUAAUGAGCUAGAGAACACUCCCUCCACUCAUCUCCUUGCUUGAUUGCCAAUCCUAGUGAGAUUGAGUGAGAUUCAAGUGCAUUGCUUAGUGAGUUGAAUCAAGUGGCACUUGAUCCUUGAGUUUGCUGCAGAUUUCUUGUUACUAUUGGGUGUUUCCCGAUGCCCUAGAUGGCUUGGAGCAGCAAAGGUGUUGAGCUCGUGAUUGGAGAUUAUUUCAAGCCUCACCAAGUUAUUUGUGAGGGGUUCUUGAGCCUUCUCUAUGGGAGAUUGUAAUUGGCUACACUAUUGCAUUACUCGUGGCUUGGAGGAUCCCCAUAUUGUGAGUGGAUGUGCGGCACCUGCUAAGGGGUUGGCUUUGGAUUGCUAAUUAGCUCGUGAUCCAUCAAGUGGGUGUAUCGCCACAACAAGGACUAGCUUGCCAGGAAGCAAGUGAACCUUGGUAAAAAUUCUUGUGUAAUCUCUUACCGAGGAUUCUCUUUGUGAUUGUGAUUGUGAUUGUGAGUGAUGGAUUGGUUAUAUAUCUACUCAACUAUGGUGGUAUAUCAAUCACUCCCCACUCCUUUACUUACUUGCAUACCUUGCUAGUUGUUUAGCUUGUUUAGCUUAGUCUUCUUGUCUAGGAGAGUAGCUAGCUUUUAGCUAUGCUUUCUUGUUGUAACUUAGUGUUUAGCUUUCUUGCUAAACUUGUGUAGGUGGCUUGCAUAGCUUAGUUGUGCUAGUGCUAGAAUAGCUUCACCAUUUAUUUUACUAACACACUUGUCUAGUUGAGUUUGUAGAAUUUUAAAUAGGCUAUUCACCCCCCUCUAGCCAUUUGGACCUUUCAAGUGGUAUUAGAGCCAAGGCACCAUUAUUUGAGGCUUAACAAUCUUUGGUGAAGAAAUGGCACUUAGUUUGCAUAUCAACAACACCAAGAAGGCACCUUACUUUGAUGGCACCAAUUAUGCAUAUUGGAAGGUCAAGAUAACCACACAUCUUAAGUCAAUCAAUAGAGAGGUUUGGAAGGUGACCGAAAUAAAGUUUGAGGUUGCAAAUGAGAAUGCACCAACAUCGGUUGAAGAGAAGAAGCUACAAUGCAAUGAUAUUACCAUUAGUGCUCUCCAUGAAGCUCUUGAUGACAAAACCUUUGAGCAAAUCAAGAACAUUGAAUUUGCUCAUGAUGCAUGUGCAAAGCUAGAAGAAACAUUUGAGGGCACCAAAGACACCAAGACCGCCAAAUCAUACAUACUCCAAGAAAAAUUCUCAAGCUUCAAGAUGCAAGAAGAUGAAAGUGUGCCAGAGAUGUUCCACCAAUUGCAAGUGAUUGUAAAUGAGCUUAAGGCACUUGGUGAAGAAGUGAAAGAUAGUCAAUUCUCUAUGAAGUUCUUGAGAAGCUUGCCCAAGAGAUUUGACACACUGAUCACCAUAGUAGUGAAGACAACACUUAGUGAAUCAACACAUCAACAAGUGUUCCAAGAGGUGAUGACCGAUGAUGCUUAUAGAGAAGAUGAUUAGAAGGAUGAGUUGAUCAAGAAAAAGAAGAAGGAUGGUGAGAAGAAGGAUGAUGAGAAGAAGAAAAGUGUGGCAUUCAAGGCCUCUGUUGACACUAGCUAACACCACUUAGAUACUAGGUUGUCAUCCCUAGCAUGGCGCCAGAGUGUACAAAGGUAUUUAUAAAUGUAAAGGCUCUCUAGAAAAUAAUCUAUUCUAUCCGCAAGCGCACAGAUAAAACACCUCAUUGUAGCAUUUCACCAGGAUAAGUAUUCCAGGUAUCGUUAUUUAUAAUUUUGCUCAAGAGAACUAAGGAAGAUGGAAUUAAAUCAAGGGACAAAAUCUAUCAAGGCAUAGACUAGAGAUAAACUUGUAAGAACAUGAUUACUAAUGAGAAACUCGUCGCACAGUCACUUACUUUAGCAGGGGGUAAACCAUAAAGAUAAUGAUGAUAAAGUAUCAGUUCAUGGGAUAAAAAGCACAGCGAUUAGAAAAUAGACUACUCCUUAUAUAUGUAGGUGAUGUCGGAUUAGCUGGAGAAUGGAUUCUAAGUUAUCUACUAACUACUAAGUCAUAAUCUACUCUAGUUAUCUACAAGAUCAUAUAUAGCAUAAAAGACUCUUCAUUCAUGUAUAAGGAACAUUGAUAAAGUAAAUCAGAGCAUCGCAUGACUUACUCCACAAUACCGGUUCUGCCUGUCCUAUCAACGGAGGGUGGACUAUAUAAGAAUCAACGAAGCUGUCACUAUCGCGAACUACCACACGACUCGGCCAAUAGGAUACAUUUGCAGAUAAAUAACAUCUAAGCACCACGCUCACAUGUGAUCUAUCACCUAACUCCCUCGCGACAAGAGCUAAGCGCUUUGCAAACUUAUACAUGAACUCAUUAUCAAUUAGAACUAUAUCAAAUAUAGAACUAGAGCAAACUAAGAACAUAAUAAUUAAAGACAUAAUGCAAUUAGAACAAUAGAAUUAGAGAAAGAUAUGAAUAAUACCAAUCUUUAUUACCGAAGAUCCGAAUCCAGAGCGUAGUGCUCUACUUCUCUAAUUGCUAUCUAAUCAACCUCUAAACUUGAAGGAUUAGGGAGUAGCUAAUUCUAAUUCUCUGUGGGAGAGAGAUCUAAACCCUAACUUUGAUGGCUACCUCUGAAUAAUGAUUUCUCCUCCUCUGCUCCAGGGGCCAGGGGGUCUGGUUUUAUAGUCCCCUCAAGUGAACGUGAGCCAUUGGAUCAAACCGACAUAGAUUGUAUGGUUUAGAUUGAUCCUUUAGGUCGGUGGAGAGUUGUCCAGAGAGAGAGUCCUGAUCCAACUCCUGGCCAGGGCGGGCGCCCAAGGGGGGUGGGCGGCCGCCCAGCUCCCGAGCCCGAUUCGCGUCCCGUUCGUUCCCGUGGCUUCUGGAUCCUUCUAGAUUGAGGAAAAUUGCGCGGCACGUAAUUAUCUUGUUGUAAACAUGACAUGUGGGCCUUCUCUCCCUAUUUUCUGAUAAACCCCUGCAGAAAUAGAUAAACACCAAAGCUCGUGGAAUUCUGUCAGAUAAAACCCCUAUUCUAGAUGUUUGUUUCAUAUUGAUCCUUUUUCAUGUUUAUUUGAUUAUUAAUUUUAGUACUUAAGGACCGUCAACAAACUCCCCCAAGCUUACCCUUUGCUUGUCCCUGAGCAAAUAGCUAAACUCAGACGGAUCAGGAGUUGCUUCGAUGUUUUCUUUCCUGACAGGCACACAUGCUUUUACAUAAAAAUUCUUCCAGAUUAGAGUGAAGUGUUAUGGAGUUUAGUACCUGCACUUAAAUCUUAAGUAAUCGAAAAACAAAAUAGUUAAGUCAAGCACUAUCCCUCUUGUCUAUACUUCACCUUUGUUCUAGAGUUUUUCAUAAGUUUUCAAAAUAAAAUUCAGAGUUCCCAGCAAUGAUUCUCUCAGGUCUCUCUAUAUGUGGUAUUUGUGGAUCCUUACCAUAAUGUCACCUACCUAUAGCUAAUGGAAUAUUUAAGUGGAGCUCAUAGGAGUGGAAAACAGCUCAUACAUAUGUUGUCUAAUCGAGCCAUGGAUCCAAAGGAACUCAGCAUAUAAUUAAAUCAAGAUGUGCAUGUGUGGUGGAGUAAAUGAUAGUGAUGGUGAAAAUGCGAUAGUGUUAAUAAAUCUUAGUUCUCAUUGCUCCUCAUAUUGCUAUCUCUCCUCUUCUUUUAUCUUUGCCUUGGGAGAACAUGGGCUAUCUUUUCUCUCUCUCUUUUUUUUUCAGGUGGGUAAUAGAUACCCCUAAUUCUACUGUCGGACACUUGUCCAUUUUUACCUCUCAAGUGGGCAUCUUUGUACCCCUAAUUCUACUUCGGACACUUGUCCAUUUUUACCUCUCGUCUCACUCUUUUUUUUUCGAGGUUCCCGGGCACUUGCCCAUUUUUAUUUCCUCGUAUAUAUUUUUGCAUAACCCAUGCCUCUUCUGCAUUGAAUCUUUUUAGAGAGAGAGAAUAACAAUAUUCGGGACAGUGAGUGAUAAUAUUUUUAGCAAUAUUAAUGAUUGGUGAUGAAUGUUGUGGUAGAUGUGUGCAAGUGAAUAUCUUAAUUUAACCACAUGAAAAGCUCCUAAGGGUCAACACAGCUCGAUCAAACUCAAUGUAAAUAUAGUAAAAGAUGUUAUAGCAAGUAUGGCUGUGGUAGGUAGUUUGUUAUGCUAGGAACUCAUCAUGUGAUUUGUGAGUUUUCAAAAUAAAUCUCCAGAACUUAGUGUAGUAGGAACAAGAUAAACAGCAGCUCAACUUUAUAUCAUGCCUUUCUCUUACCUAGACUUUAGUUUUAUGCUUUCCAAAGAUAGUAAUUUCAGUUUUAGUAAUUCCCGGAAGAAUUCUAAUAUAAAAGCUAGGUACUUGUAAGUAAGCAAACAGAGCAACUAUUCAUCAUUUCCAUCAUGCAUCUUUUUGGUCUUUUUAUUUUUUUAGAGAUUAAACUUAGCAGAAAAAUAAAGCACACUUAUCUACACACUCUUUUUAUUUUGUUUUCAUGUUUAUUAAGUGCAGUAGAUUAAAGCAAGAAAAUAUUUAUUUGGUUUUCUAAGUUUUCCUUUUAAGAUAAAUAAAAUACUAAGACAAAAUAGAAUAAAUAAGAAGAGCAAAUAAAAACUUACUUGAUAAAUUUGGGAGGAACUCCCCCAAGCUGGAUGUUGACGUCGGUCUUACCCGAUGUUCCAGAACCGCAUCAUGGUUGUGAUGUUGUCGUUCAUUGUUGUUCUAUCUUGUCUCAGUUCUUGUACUGCAGCGGCAUGGUCCUGGUUUCAUUUUUGUUGCUCUUCCAGGAGUCUUCCAUGUUCUGCUUGCGUGUUCUGGAUGUCGAGGAGGGUGUUGUCGGUACGAGUGAAGAAAGCACCGGCCUCUUGAUAGUAGUCAUUCGUGAAGGCGUAGGAGGCGUCGGAGUAUCGUCCUGCAUCAAAUUGGGUUGGAGGUCUGGAUCCUGAAGCUCCAUAUGGAUCAGUGGAGUACCUGCCCGUAUGAAAAGGCGGGUUUGUCCACUGGUGAUCUUGGCUCUCCGGCCAUGUCUCCUCUGUUGGCUCUUGUGGUUGCGCAUGACGAGCCCAUGGGUCUCGAAGGACUCGUGGAUUGUAAUCGCAAUAAUGCAGGUGCGCUGCUUCUUCUGGUCCAGGGUCAGCUCCAUACCAAGUGCGUUCUCGGUGAGUGGUUAUCCUUUCAGAUGCCACUCGCUGUGGAGUUCUCUGGUUCACUGGUGUUGCUGCAAUCUCAAUCAGUUUUGCACAGAGUAGAGGCCAAGGUUCGGGUUAGGUAACCGAAUCUUGCCUUUAUCAUCAUAUAGCAUAUACAUUAUAUUCCCCUCUUUUUUUAACAUCCGAGCUUGUCUAAAUGUGUCAUAGCCAUGAUAAAUUCUUAAUUCUUCUAUGAAGUCCAAUGAUGAGUUUUCUAGUAAGUGAAGAUUAGUGGCUAGACGAGUGAUAAGUGAAGUACAUCCUACUGGUCCCUGAAGACUAGGUAUACUAAGCCAAUGUGAAACUAAUAGUGUAACAGGUGAAGUGGGUACUUUACUAAUAGCAGCAUAUAAAAGUUGUAAAUCUCCUACUCUUACUUUCCUAAUAUCGUCACGAUAGAAAAGAUUGUACCCAAGCCAUUUGUGGAACAUCCUAAGAGUGGGGUGUUCCAUGUCACUGGUUCGGGCUUGACUAUAAAAAUUAUCUCUAGAUAUUUCUCUCCAAAACUGGUGUCUCUCAAAAUUGGGUAAAUCGGAGUCAAUGUUCAGGAUGCAUCUUGAAGAGAAACCAAGAUGGUCGCUCAGCUCUCUCCAAGAUAACAUAAUUUCCUGUUUAAACAUCCGAAAAACAAUUCCCCCCUCAUAGUAUUGUAAGGUGCAAAGAAAUUCAAGGGUGAGAAGACGAGAACCCAGCUCAGUUAUAUUCCAAAAAUUUGUCCAACCCAUCAUCUGAAAAAUUAAGUCAAAUUCAGUGUCCAUACCUGUUUCUCGUAGUAGGAUUGGAUCGAGAGUAGGGGUGUGAAUGAAAUCUUUAUUCUUCAAUUGCUGAUAGACUUCCUUCUCUCUUCGGGUCUUCAGUCCUAGGUCUCCUAUCUUGAGAAGGACCUUAACUUGCUGACCUGAUGAAGAUGACGGAGCUUGUGUGGGUGUCGGGUCGACGCUCAUCUCUGAUGGUUGUGAGGAGUGUCGGGAUGAACUCCUUGUACCAAUGUUCUUGAUAGCCUUCCCUACAUUCUUUACCUUCUUAAACAUCCUGCAAACAAAAGUUGGCAAAAACACAACUGGUGGAAAAUGUGAGACAAAAUGUUAGUGGUCAGCUGUCCGGAGUAUCAGUAGUCCAGGGAUUAAUCGUUCAAGACAAGUUUCUAUUUUGGUAGAGCCUCCCCCCUAAACAACUUUUACUUCCGCUUGGACAGCGGGAUCACUAUUUGCUAGGUGAUAAUCACUUUCUCAAAAGAACUCCAACCUUCCCUUCCACUCUCCUCUUUCUCUCUACUCUAUUCUCUUCACUACAAAAGCACCUUCUCGGGAAACUGAGAUUUGUGUGGUUUUCUAAAGUGUUUGUGUGAAGAGAAGGGAGCUUAAGGUGGCCUUUUAUAGGCUGAGCAGGGGACAGGGCGGGCGCCCAAGGUAGGUGGGCGGGCGCCCACUUGUGGUGUCCAUCCUGGGUGUGCCUCCUCCACAUGCUUCCUUGCUUUGAUCUCACGCAGAAUAAUAUUGUGUUGGUAGUGGUUGGACGGUGGAAAGAUGUCAAGUGAGUGGAAACAUAUUGGUGGAUGAAAUUAUGUGAUGGGAUGUAUGUGAGGUGAAGUGUAUGACAUGUGGGACCCAAAGAGUGUGGGUCAUGCUUCUAGAGUAUCAAUAUAAAUAAAUAUAAUGCAGGAAAAUCUAUGAGAAUUGAAACUUAAUGAUAUUGGAAAAUAUUUUUUGUGCCUCCACAAUAAUUAAUAGAUAUGGGUUGUUACACACCACGAAUAUUAUUUAUAUGGGGCUUUUUGAUUAUUAUAAUUAUGCUAUGACUAAUGCAAGAAUUAAUUAUGCAAGAAUUUAAAUAUGAGAAAAUUAAUAAUGCGGAUAAAUACCGAUUUACCUCCCGGUGAGGGUUUGGGAUUUUUAGGUCCCCCAAGCUGGACCUCCAAAUCUUUUAAUCUUCUGAGUUUCCUUCCUCUAGAGAUUGUGUCUCCAGUGGUUCUUUAUGAACUUCAUUUACUGUAGAGUCUCUCUCUGGUCUGGGUUUGAAUGUGAAGUGUUCUUGUUGACCGUUUAUGUUGAACUUGAUUUCUCCUUUCCCGACAUCAAUGUGGGCAUUAGCAGUGCUUAGAAAUGGUCUUCCAAGGAUGAUGGACACUUUCGAGUCAGGACUCAUGUCCAGUACUACGAAGUCUACUGGCACCAGGAAAUCUCUGAUCUUGACUGGAAUGUUCUCGGCGAUGCCCAACGGGUGUCGAACCGAUUGAUCCGCUAGUUGUAGGCACAUUGAUGUUGGUUCUAAGGUUGCAUGCUCAAGCUUUUUGUAGACUGAUGCUGGCAUCACACUGACACUUGCUCCGAGAUCACAAAGUGCAUUGUUGAAGUGUUGGUUUCCAAUCGAGCAAUCAAUAGUGGGACAUCCUGGAUCUUCCUUCUUCUUUGGUGGUUUAUUGAGGAUGGCCGCACUACAUUCUUCCGUCAGCUUGAUAACCUCAGUGGUGGGCAGUGGUCUCUUCUUGUUAAGAAUAUCUCUGAUGUACUUUGCAUAUGUAGGUACCUGUAUGGCAUCGAGCAGAGGUAUGUUGACAUAUAAUUUCUGAAUGACCUCUACAAACUUACCAAACUGCUCAUCCGACUGCAGUCCUCUGUUUCUUCUGGGAAAUGGCAAAUAGUUGGUGUCGUAAAAAUCUUUCCUCAUUUCUCCAGUUCUUGGUGGUUGGAGCAGAUCUUCUGCUUCAACUGGGCUUUCUUCUUCUAUUACUGCUGGUUGCACUGGUGCUGAUGUUCUUUGUUUCUCUUUUGGGUAUGGUGGAUCUCUGGUGGCUUUGCCUCCUCUAGUAGUUAUAUUCUUUACCUUUGCUAUUGGGUUGACUCAAAGUUGGUUGAUAUUUGUAUGCUGUCUCAAUGGCCCUUUGAUCUUCUUUGAACUUGGCCCUCUGGUCAAUCCAAUGGAGCAAAUUUUCCAUCUUAGUUGAUAAUGCAUUUACCUCUUCUGGUAUUUCUUCAGUUUGAUGACAAUGUUGAGCUUUAUCUUGGAACCAGCUUUGGUUUUCUGCUAUCUUAUCCAAAAGUAUCUCUGCUUUUCCUGUUGUAAGCUCCAAGAAUGAUCCUUUAGCAGAUGCAUCUAGGCACUCACGAGCCUUCUGGGUUAAUCCAUGGUAGAAGGUCUGCAUAAGUAACCAUGUGGCCAUUCCAUGGUGAGGACAAUCUGAUAUGUAUCCUUGAAAACGCUCCCAUGCUUCUGAAAUGGCUUCUGUCUUCUGCUGUUGGAAACUGACAAUAUUUCCUCUUAAGGCAGUUGUUUUGCCUAUAGGGAAAAACUUUGAUAGAAAGGCAUCUGACAAGUUCGUCCAGUUGUUGAUGUUAUGUUGAUGAGUGUAGAACCACUUCCUUGUUGAUAUUUGGUAACGCAAUUAGACAAUGAUCCGCAAGCGCACGGAUAUCGGUGAGCAUUUCACCCGGGAGGUUUUCCAGAGUAUCGUAUUUAUAUUUUUACCACUGGGAGAAAGGGUGCAUCUGACUAACCAAAUCUAUUGCUACUAUCCCUUUAGGCUACAAAGAAUGUCUCUCGAUGUGAGUGAUGUAUAGAGAAGACUGCAACCGUAGUCUCGUUCUAACCUUGGUAAGGAUGAUCUACUGUUCUAUUGGGCAGGCUCACGGAAUCUAGACAACACAAAGGAUGUUCGACCCGCACCUAUAACCCUACCCGUCCUGCUAACAAGAUGUGAUCUACAAAGGUAACUUGGAAAUGUCACGUUCUUCGCUACUACCACGAUCCAGCUAGUCAGGGGAUAUCUAUGAGUACCCUAGCCUAAACACCACGUUUAUGCUAACAAGUGAUUACUCUAAUACUCAACCGGAAGAGGAUUAAAGUAAACUCAUAAACCAAAGAACAAUAAAACAAGAACUUACUAGUAUUAGAAGUCGAAUUACUGAAGAAUCUUAGAAGCAAGCCUCGGGUUAGGAGACUUGAUCCCGUAGGUACAACUCGGAGUAGACACCGACAGGUCGGCCUUCCUCCGAUCCACACCUCCACUCUAUCUCUCUCAAUCUAGUAGAAACUAGAAGAUCUAUUUCUACCUUACAUUGGUUGCUAAGCCUAAAAAGAAAUAUUAUUUAGAGAAGAGGUUUUCCUUCGAGGGCACCCCUCAAUCUCUAUGAUAAUUUCUUGUCUCCUCCAGGGGCCAGAGGGGGUCUCCUUAUAUAGUCCUCCCCUUCUAUGCGUUUUUGGGUCGAUAGGCGAGGUGGUACUAUGUUAUUCUGGAUCCAAUAGGUCGGUGGAACGUCGUGUGCGAAGAGAGUUCGGAACGGAGUCCAGAGGGGGGCGGGCGCCCUGGGCCUGGCCCCUUUCGGGCUCCGCUUCCUUCCCGUGGCUUCUGGAGUCUUCUAGAUAGUAGAAAAUUGCGCGGUGGGUUGAUAUCUCUAUGUAAUCCCGAAAUGUGGGCCUUUCUUCCUUAUUUCCUGAUAACCCCCUGCAGAAAUAGACAAACACCAAAACUCGUGGAAUUAUGUCAGAUAAAACCCUAAGUCUAGAUGUUGAUUUCAUUUGGAUCCUUUUCUUUGUUUAUUUGAUAAUUAAAUUUGAUACUUAAGGACCGUCAACAAACUCCCCCAAGCUGACCUCUUGCUCGUCCCUGAGCAAGGAUGAACUCAAGAGUUUCUGCAGUGGUUUCAUUUCUUAGAAGUACACACGCAUUUAAGCAAGAUCUCAUCUCUGAGUUAGAAUAAACUGUUAAGACUUAAAACUUACUUACUUUACCUACACCAUAGGACUUGUAACCGUCACUUCUGUCUUGAGUGGUUAAAAGAUAGAACAGUCUAGCCAAGUGUCAUGUCUCUUAUUCUUGAUCAGCUAUAGCUCUGGGGUUUUUGCAGAUUUUUAAAUAAAACUCAGAAAUUCCUUGUAUGAUUCUCUCAGGUCUCUCUUAUGUGGUAUUUUUGGAUCCUUACCAAGGCAGUGAUGGUAUAUGCCUUCUCUCAAGAUAUGUAGUAUUUGUGGUAUGAAGCAUAGUGACAUUGUCUUCUCUCUCACCCUACUCCAAUAAGGCUUUAAUAUCUGGAGCUCAUAGGUGGGAGAUAAAGUAUACAUACUUACAAGACAUUUAUUGCAUAGUCAAACCAUGGAUCCAAAGAAACAAAUCAAUAAGCCAAAUCAAGAUGUGCAUGUGUGGCGAAUGAAUGGUGUAUGGUGAUGAUGGUGAUAACAAUGGUGAAAACAAUGGUGGUGGAAGUCUAAUUCUACUUUUGCUCUUUGAGGGGAUACAUACCUUCCUUGCUUUUGAAACUUUAUGAGGAGAAUGAGAUGCUCUUCUUUUUCUUUUCUCUCAAGUGGGUAUCUUGCACCCCUAAUUCUACUGUCGGACACUUGUCCAUUUUUACCUCUCGUCUCACUUUUUCUUUUUCUUUCGAGGUUCCGAGCACUUGCUCCCUUUUAUUUCCUCGUAUUUAAUAUUUUUUUUCUUUCUUUUUUUUUAAGCACUCAUCUCUUGAGAUAAUAUAGCAAGUGGUAGUAACAAGAUAACUUGAGCAUUUAUUUCACAAAGGGAAACAGAAAUAUUUUUGGUUAUUCUCUCCCGGAUUAGGAGUAGAAUAUUUUUGGGUGAUUCUAGAGAUGGAAUGGGUGAAUAUAUGUGGAUGGUACUUCCGGAGUAGAAGUAGCAUAUAUGAGUGAACGUGCAAGUGAAAUCUUGAUUUAACCACAUGACAAGUUCCUAAGGGUCUACACAGCUUGACUACACUCAAUGCUCAUAAGCAGUAAAUAGUAAAUGUGUGGCUCAAAGUCUAGCAAGCAUGUAUAUAUGGCUGUGGUAGGAAUUUAAACUCUCAUCAUACAGGAACUCAUCAUGCAACAUUUUAAAGAUUUUCAAAGAUAAAAUUCUCUAGAAUUCUAGCAUCUCAAGGAACAGAUAAACAACAGCUCAACCUUCCCAUAUCAUAUCCGUUAACGACUUAGACUUUAGAUCAAGUACUCUUCCCACAAGUUUAGGUUUAGAGCAAGCUUUAAAUUAUAACAGUUAUGCCUAAACUUGAGAGAGAUUUCAAUUUUAAGAACUAGUCAUGGCAGAGCAACUAUUCAUCAUUUCCAUGAGAGAGCUUAUCAUGAGGGUUCAUAGCAAAUUUUAUUUAUUUAUUUAUUUAGCAAACUAAGCAAAGAUAUAUAUAUAAAAGCACAAAAUCUUUAUUUGGGUUUUUCAUAGUUUAUGUAUUUUAAUAUUCUAACAUAAUAUAAGUAUAAAGAUAGGUAGAAAUACUUAGCGAGAUAAAUGGGGGUGCUCUCCCCCAAGCUGAAUUUUGACGUAAUUUCUUCUGAUGUAGCUAGCAGGUGAUGGAGGUGUAUUUGAAAGUCGACAGCACCCCGACAGCGAUUAGGAUGUCCUCCGUCUGCUAGUCUUCUUUGAUCCUUGAAUUCUGUGGAGCUCAAAUAGACAACAAAGCUUUGUGGAACUGGUUAAGUGUUAGCAUAAAUAUCUAACCUUUAUCAUGUUGAGCCUCCUCAAUAUUACUUAUUUAGCAGGAUCAUGCACUUAUUAUUUUUAUAUUUUUAUUGUAAGAUGAAAACUUAUUUAUUUUAUUUUCAUGCCACCACAGUGAAUGUACUUAUGGGUUUUAUGCCAUGAGCAUACUCACAUGAGGCUUACUAUUUUUUAACAUUUAUUUUCUUUUCAAGAUAGCAUGAACCUGAUUAACUAAGCAAACUAUUGAAUGGAAAAGGAUAACUACCAAGUUUACCUCUUGGCAAGGCGUUCGGUAUUUUUAAGUCCUCCGAACGGGACUUUCCGUUUUCUUAGUCGUCCUAGGAUUCGCUAGGUGGCGUAGUCGGUGAUUCCGGCGGCGCCUCUUCGUCGUGUAUAACUAUCUUCUCUCUCCACACCUGACUCGGUGCUACGGUCUCCUCAGGACAGUUCUGUUCAAGCCGUAUGUGUUCAGACCUUAUCACUUCUCCUUCGUAGUCUACUCAUCCGUCCUUGAUGAUCUGCCUCCUCUGGUUGCGGUUGUGUUGCCUUCUUCUUGUCGUGACCUACUUAGAAUCUUCAACUAUAUAGUUAGAAUCAUUAAAGUAGUGGCGUACCUUCUCAGAGAGGAAGUGCAUGUGGACUUCUCCGGUUCCAAUAUAUAUGAUGGCUUUGAUAGUGUUGAGGAACGGUCUUCCAAGGAUGGUGGGUGGAUCAUACUCGUCUUCUGCCAUGUCAAUGACCUGAAAAUUUUCUGGAGCUGAAUGUAUGCUGGUUGUAGGAGCAUGGUUCCAUGCAGGAGCUGAUAAGUGACUGCGGCCAUUAUGUUGACAUCAGAUCUAGUGUCGUAGAGUGUCUUCUAAAAAGAGUAUCUGUUUAUUGUGCACUCAAUACUUGGAACACCAGGGUUGUCCUUCUUGAUCAGGAAUGGCGACUUGAGUCGAUGAUUUUGACCUCCUCUGAACUGCAGUGACCAUCUUAGCUGACUCGGUCCAUAUUUGCUUAUUCCUGUUCCUCCUGUUGGUCCUCUUCCUUGGUUCAUGUCGGGAUUGCUCUGAAAUUUGUGUAGUCUUGUUCUUGAAGGAAAGUCUCCUUCUUCCCCUUGAUGUAGAGACUGAUCUUUGCAGCAUUAGCAUAGAUGACAGCUUUGGUGUUUAGGAUUGGCCUCCCUAAGAUGAUGAGUGCUCUCUCCUCACUACCAGUCUCUAUCACCACGAAGUUUGCUGGAGUGUACAAGGUACCAACUCGGACACAGAGGUUCUUCAAUAUUCCUUUGGGAAACUAAGUGUCUGAUCUCCAUUGUGUUUGUGCUCGUAGAUCUCGGUUCUUCACUUGAUGGAAUCUGAGAGUUGUAAAACGCCUUCACGUUUCUCAAAAUGUGUCCUGCUCAUAGAGACAAGGCAGAGAUCAAGUGCAUGGGCCCUGUUGGUAGAAAACACCAACAGAACCAAAAGUGUAUUUGUUCUUCUCUAACCUUAAGCAUAGUGAGCAAGACAAAGUUGAUGGAUCAUGAGUGUAGCAUUUAAAACAUUUGUUAGAUCAGAUGGCUCAACCUAAUGGAAAGAUAAUCUAUCUAUAUUUAUGUUUUGUUUAUAUCUUCCAAAGAUUGAAUGUGCAAUACUUUAGCUUAUAUGAUUAUGAGUGUGGGGUCACGAAGGUAGUACUAAGAACAAAGAUUAAAGGACUAAACAUGUUGAAUUAAUUGAGUUGGAUAAUUUGGAGUUAUAAAUCAUACAUGUUUGUCUCUUUAUUUAUGUGAAUGCUAGAAUCAAGG